GUUGCUAUCUUUUUUGUAUCUGAACACAUUUUUAUGCUUCCCUAUAUUAAAUCGAAUACCAUGUUACUUCUUCAUUCAUAGUUCAGCAAACAACCACAUUGACGGCAUUUCAUCAAAGCACGAGGAAGAAUUCUAUUUGUGAAGCAUAUCUGGUUCGAUCAUUUCCUGGCAACUAUGCCUAUAUAAGGACAUCACAGGGCAAAGGCAAUGCCAUCACCCAAUCCAAGUUGCUAACAUAUUCACUACCACUUUAGAUUAGCAAAAGAAUACCACCAUUUUUCAACCAGCAAUGGCAUCUUGCAAGUUGUUCGUGUUCAUGUUUCUCAUUGUCGUCUGGUUCCCCGGCUACAAUGAAGCAUUUUCAUCCCGUCGCCUUCUAUUACUACCAGUUCCAAAUGCACCAGGUUCUCCAAAAAUUCCAACUUACCCGGUUUCGCCACUCCUCCCAACACCAACUGUCCCACCACCACCAACUUUUCCGCUCCCUACCCCUCCCUUCCCCGGAAUUCCAAUUGCUCCAUUCUUUCCAAGUCCAUUGCUACCACCUGCAGCUACUACCACCAGCAGCAGUACCAGCCCUUGAAAGUCGCAUUUUAAUGUUAUCUUGCGUGCCUGUUGCUUGCUCAGCUUGUAGCAGGAGAACUAAGCCAAUUUGCCUGGCACACGUUUCAGAAUGAUGAAGCGAGUCCUGGACUGUAUGUGCUUCAAUAACAAUAAGUAGACUGUUGUUUAUUGGAUGUUUCUAGUGUUUAUUAUGGUUUCAGUUGCUGAAUGGAUUACCUUUGCAUAAGGGUGUAAGUUUUAGUAAUAAAGGAUUCUGAAUCCUAUAUUAUUCCCAUUUUCUGGUUGUUUGGCUUGUGGAAUUCACGAAUUCAAGAUUUAACGACAGUGCAUUGUCACUUAAAAUGUGCUAAUCGACAGCAACAUGCCUGAGCGUAUAGGCAAUAAGAAAUUUUCUGUGCCUUGCUACAUAGCAAACAAAAACUGGAUGACCAGUGGAAGGAAACAACAACUUUAAGAUGAUUGGUAUCAAAUGAUUUCGGCAUUGAGCCCACUAGAACACGCAAUGUUCACAUUCCAUAAAUAUGAAGAAAGCAGAAGACUAUUUAACGAAAAAAUAAAAAAGAGAAUUAUUUCUAAAGGAGACAACAGGUUAUAAAUGUCCACAACGGCAGCAGAGCCCACAUUUCGCAUCACUUAAUUCGAAGUACGAAAUUUCUUGAGUAUAUUACUCAGUCAAUGAGAAUUGAGGGGAUUCUUAAACUACUGCAGAAGUUGGGAUUGCUCAUCGGAAUUGAGACAUUUUCACUGUCGAUGAAUUUUAUUCGCAGUCUUGUGUGCUAAUGCCUUUGCGAUGUUUAGAUCCUAUCCUUUUGGGAGUCAUUUGCUGUCUUGAGCUCUCAACCUUCAAAGUAGCUAGCAGUUGAGACUACAACACAUGACCCCUUUAGGCAUUAUAACUGCAACUACUGAUUCACUCUCUGUUUUUGACCUAGUUACGUAAUUGACCCGAUUAGCAGGCCAACCCAUGCAGACCUCUUAAGGGUGGUACGCUUUACAAGUUGCUACUGUGGCCAUACAGUCGCCGUUCAUGCCAAGAGGCAUUUUCUUGCAUAGUUCCCUCCCAACACCAUAACCAAUGCAAGGUAGAUCCGUCCCGCAGUCCCCACUGCAACUUUUAAUAGCACAGCUUUGAUUUUCAAACCCCGCUGCUCUGGCUUUUUGCCUCAUAUCAUAUGGUUCCACUUCCACAUGCCUUGCUACCCUACCCAUAUAAAUGCAGCAUAGACUACCAGGUCUUCAAAAUACCAUCCAAGUUGUAGUGUUAGUCGCAACUGAUACUACUUCCAAUAGCACAAAUUUGAAUUUGAAAACUCGUUGAUCAUCAAUUUCUUAACCAAGAAUGGCUUCUUACCACAAGUUGUUGGUGAUCUUCCUUAUCGUUGUUGGAUCUGUUGCUGGCAGCGGCCAAGCUUUGACACACCGUCACCUUCUGUUAUCACCAUCUCCAGGUUCAGAUUCACCCCGAAGAUCAAAAUUUCCCUUUCCAAAAUUAAUGGGAGGGGGUUUGACAGAACAUGGUCCGUCCCAUGCCAGAACCGUCACUUCCCAGCCCGGAAAUCCAAUACUUCCAGACUUUCCAAAUCCAGUGACUUCACCGGGAAAUCCAAUUGUUCCAUACUUUCCAAGUCCAGUGAUCCCACCCGGAAUUCCCCCUAUUCCAUACCUUCCAAGUCCAGUUAUUCCUGCACCAGGAAAUCCAAUUAUUCCAUACUUUCCAAGCCCAGUAAUCCAACCUGGAAAUCCAAUCAUUCCGUACUUCCCAAGCCCGGUGAUCCAACCCGGAAAUCCAACUGUUCCAUACUUUCCAAGUCCAGUUUUCCCACCUCCUCCAGCUGCUACUUCCACCAUUAGCCCUUGAAAUCAAUUUGCAGAAGUACCAUUGGACUUCUCACGUUUCCAUGUUGUGUACGUAGCUCAAUUUUAGCAUGAAGGCUAUAUCAGUUUUCUUGCAUAUUUUGUCAUGAUGUAGGCAAGUCCCUGAUGAAGGGUUGUCCCUAUGCUUUGCAGAAUUCUUAGGUGUUGCUUCGAUAUCAUUCAGAAGCAGACUAAAUUUGAAAUCAUAUCUUUGGUUAGCUUCCAUUCAAGUGCGAAGUUUAUGCAUCAAUAUCCCUAAACUUGAACUACUUUCUCGCCAUGGGGUUGUUUGUUUAUAAAUUGUGUGGAUCAACUUUUUUCUCAUAUAAUAGAUCACUUGAAUCAUGUUAAUCAGUAAUGUGGAUUACUCUGCAGUCUGCACUAGAUGACCAACAACUUUGUUUCGGAGGAGCUGUGUAGAUGUUAAGGGCUGUAUGAAAGAAAUUCUCAUUGAUAUCUUUAUUCCAGAAAAACUGAACGGCAGUCUCCAACCUGAGAAAAGUUCCUUCCAGUGGAAGGUAACAUUUUCACUGAAAUAUUGAGUUACAGACAGGUUUAACCUCUAGAGCUUUAAUUGGAAACGACAACUAUUUCAUACCAACUGUCUUCCGCCGUAAAAGUUAAAAUCAUCAACUUUGACAUCAUUCCAGCUCCUUUAUACACGAAAAGCUUUUGGAAGUGCACAUUUGUUUAAAAAAAAAAAAAAAAAGACACCAAAUUGAUCUUAACCGUGGAAACAUUUUUAUUCAAAUUUAUGAAAUUUUGUAUCGAUUCCUUUCGUAUAUUUUAUUCUUACGUAUUCUCUACUUGCCCACCUUUGUCAGUUUCGGGUCUAGGUACGUACCUUUUUAGUUUACAGUCGUAUGAGCUUUUCGGCGAGGGCAUAAGAGCAUAUAUUGUGUCUUCUGGUUUAUGCUUCUCUCUUGGCAGCUAUCUGCAUCGAUAAUAUGGGUUAUUUCUAGCAGACAAACUAGAAUAAGAACGCAGUCACAGCCACAGGAGUUUCACAGAAGUUAACAAAAUAGUUUAAAAGGGAAGCUGAAGCUGGAUGUGGCUCUUUCCACGCCCAAGCAGAGUUACAGGACCAAACGAUAGCAAUUUACAAGAAGGAAAGGAGGAGUUGCAUACUUACAUGUAUCAAAUGUAUUAAACUUGCACCAACUUUCUUAAUUGAUUCAUCUUGGACCAACCACGUAGGAGGCAUUUAAAAUAGGACCCGAGAGAUGGAGCUACAGUGGGGGGGGGGGGGGGGAAGGGGAACUAAAAUCUAUUAAUUACAUAUGUAAAUUUAAACUUUGCCCCCACUCUUUUAGAAUAUUCUGCAUUAUUUCCUAACAAAAUAUUUAUCCGAUGUGCUUCUUUAUUUGUUACUUUUUUUUCCCUACAAGUCAACCCACUUGAAAACAAAUAAAUAAAUUAUUUAAUCUCUCACACUCGAUCAAAAUCAAGCAAUAAAGAUUCAACUUUAUUUUUAAACCAAUUUAGAAAUUCUUGAUAAUAUAUUUUUCCUCCACUAAAAUUUUAAAAAAAUUCUAGAUUAGUUAUUUCAAAAGGUUUUUUUAGGCAAUUAUUUCAAAAUUUUGAAAAUUACAAAGUUAUAAAAUAGUAUUAGAAUAUUUGAAUAUGAAGACACUUCAAGAACAAUGGUACAGUGUUUGCAUAUUUAUGGUUAUGCUAUAUCGUUUUGAUAGUUUUGUGAUCUAUAUAAUUUAACAUGUUAAGUUCACCUUCACUAAAAUUUAUUUUUGGAUAAAAUAUACUUUAUUCCCCUGUGGUUAGCACUUUUUUGCAUAAUCCUUUUGUGAUUUGAAAAACUAUAUAUAACCUUUUCAUAAUUUGAACUAAAGCGUUAAAGUGACGGAAUUUGCAUUUCAUAAUGGAAUCAACUAAAAUGUCAAAAGUGCUCAUCUUUAAAGUUGAAAAUUAUUAAUUAAUUAUAAGGGGUUAUGUAUAUAUUUUAAAAAUCAUAAGAAGUUAUGUGGUAAAGCACUAAACGAUAAAGGGAUUAUAUAGUAAAAUACAAAAUCAUAAGGCACUAAAAUGUCAUACAUAUUACGUUUAUAUAUUUUGGUCACUUCAACUAUUUUAGGCCUCGUGUGGCAAAUGAGUUUUUUGAAUGUAAAUUUUUGGAUAUUUUGAAAUAUAUAGUUUACUGUAAUUAAAGUUGUUAAAAAACUUGUAGCAGACAAACUUUGCCAAAAAUUUAUUUGCGAGAUAGGCCCUUAGUUUUGAAACAAAGAUAUUCUCGAUAUUUCCUUGGAUUCCGUUACGAAGAAUUUUUUCCGUCACUUUCAUACGUUAGUCCAAACUAUGAGAAAUUACGUAUAUAUUUUAAAAUUACGGGAAGUUAUAUAAAAAAUUGCGAAACCGUAUUUUUAACUCCGCCCUGCACGAGAUGACUCAAGCAUACAGAAGAAAUCUCUCGAGUGUAUUAGUAUAUUCAGUGGGCAAGGAUGGACACGAAACGUCACAAGUCAAAGAAUUGUACCUCUGAGCUUUGGGUGUUCAGUUGGCAUGAUUGAUGAUGCCUUCUUAUUGUCAAUAAAAUUUGGUAAAGGCCAAAAAAUCUGACCAAUCUUUCUGGAUGGUCAGUGUCUUUAUGUUUUCAAACAUUCUGCGAGUGAAUUAGUAAGACUCACAAUGAUGGAUUCAGUCGUAUGGUGAUCAUUGUUUAACUGCGUUGUAACUCGGAACAUGUUAAUUAAUAACAACACGUAUAGUACCUUAAAAAAAAAACACACACACACACACACACAUACUGGCCAUUUUACUCAAAGCUGUAUGCUAGUAUAUGAACCUAAAAUUACAGUGGCAUGCAAAAUCUCAUUGGGAAGACAAUACAUAUACAGGUCAGGAGGCCAAGAAGAUUAAACAUAAUUUAUUCUUCUCUAAACCACGUAACAAAGAUCACAAGUGCUAUUCAAUAGGUUUGAAAACUUUUGAUGAAUCUGAUCUCAAGUUCAUCAGAAAUAUUUCCAGCCUGAAUAUAAAUAGGACCGACCGUUGAUAUUGCUAAAGUAAAUUCCUAUCCCAUUAUUUAUAGCACUUCAUUGGACGAGACAAAAUAUUAUCUUGUUUGCUUUAAUGAAAUCCAACCCCAGUGCAUGAAAAAGAUAAUUGGCAUCAGGGAGAAAUUUGGACGGACGACGCCGUGUCAUGAAUAGUGCUCCAAUUUCGUUCAUCCGCCCCAUCCCCAAACCCUCAAACCAUGGAUAAGUGAUUAACUGAGGGAUAGAUGUUCACACUUCGGAAAAAAAUAGAAUAACCGGCGGAUCUAAUUUAGAUCGGCGAUCGGAUGUCGGUAAAAUGGAAUUCGAGAAAAUUGAAUAAUAUCCAACCUUAAAUUUUGAUAAAAAAAAUUAAAAUUUGGUAAAAAAAAAAAAAUUGGAAAUGGAUAUUGAAAUUCGAUUCUCGAAUUCUCAAUUAGUGACCAAAUUAUCUAAUUUUGUAUUUUAAUUAAAUAUUUUAGAUAUUUCAUGCCUACUGAUAUAUAAUAUUACAUAUUAAUAUAUUAAUCUAUUAGUCAAAAUGUUAUAAGUUAUAAUUUAUACUUAUAAACAAAUAUGUGACCUUUUUAAUUAACAUGUUAAUAACUUUUAUAUUGUUAAUUACAUAUCAAAUAUACUUAACUAAUCUCUAUUAGAAAACCAAUCUAAACCUUCGCAUAUUUUACCGAAAUACCGAUUCUUCGGGCGAAAUCCAACUACCAAUAUCCAAUUAUCCAAAUAAAAAGUUUAGACUUUAGACGGUGAUUGAAUAUUGAUCUUUUAAAAAAAAAAAAAAAAAAAACCGAACCGUUGAGCGGCCGAUGAACAUCCUACUAACGCGGGGGGGAGAACAAAGAAAUUUGAGCACCUACAGAUCUCCUUACUCAAGGAUAAUUUCGUCUUUUCAUUAAAAAAGAGCUCGUUCUGCCGAUUAAAGAAUUGCAGCUUUCAACUAAUUUCCGUAUGGCAAAAACUUGGAUGAAGCCGGUGCAAAAUCCAACUAGUAGACCUGAUGGUGUCUAUUAGCCACGUGGAAAGAGGAGGUAACUCUUGAGACUGAGAGAGGGCUCGCUGUCCAUCGCUAUCAAAGCGGAUCCCAACUUUUCGCCUAGACUACCCACCUCAAUACUUCAGGAACUAGUGUCUUCACCCGUGCUAUGCACGGGUUAUAUUUCAAAUCAAAAUAAUAUUUUAUAUAUUUAUAUAUUGUGUUACAACAUAAUAAAUAUAUAUAGAAUAAAAAUUUUAAAGAAGUGUAUGCUUAAUAUCUUGAAAAAAAAUUGUAAUCUAUAAUUAUUUACAUAAUAAAAGAAUUGUUAACGCAUUUAAGGAGAGAGUUAGGUCGGGUGGUAAGGUGAAAAGAGUUUUCUAAAAAAGUCAAUUUAUCAAUAUCCAACAAAAUAUAUUACUAUGUUAUACCCAUAUAUCAAAACUUAUAAUACAAAAAAAUAAAUUAUAACCAAUUUAUUUUCUUCCAUUUUUAGAAAAAAAAAAGAAGAUCUUACUCCUAUCCUGUGCCCCUAAAUUUGUUGAAUGUAUUUCGAUUAGCAUUUUUCAUAACCUUUAACGUAUAUUUUAAAGAAAAUUCUCCGUACUAUGUGUUUUUAGUGUUCUUAAAAUUAUUAAAAAUCACUAUCAUUUCUCUCUUUUCUUAUACGCCAGUUAGUCAUCAAAUGUCUCCUACGACUUUCAUACCUUUUAUCAUGGUACCACCCUUUUUAUUAUUAUUUUUUUUGUCAUCUCUGCCAUAUUCCUGCAAUCCCCUUUCUUCUUCUCUCCCUUCUCCGCCCAUCAUUGUAAUCCAUAUUUUUUCUUCAACCUUUCCUGCUACUUUUUAACACCUCACCAUUUUCUUCCCUCGCUCCUCCCCCUAUACUUAACAUAUAAAUUUAUAUCCCUACGAUCCAAUAUAUUUAACUUAACCCAUCAUAAUAAAAAUAUAAAAUUGAAAAUUAAUUACAAUGGUUGCAAUUAUUAGUAUCUAAAAAUGGAAAUGAAAAACUGACAAUAUCUAUAAUAUCCUCAAGUACUACAAUCAAUUCAUAUAUAUAUAUAUAUAUAUAUAUAUAUAUAUAUAUGUUUUAACAUAGCAAAUACAUAUUUAUAUAUGAAGACAGCAAUAAGAAAACAUAAAAUAAUUAUGAAUCAAAAGUUAAUAGGAGUGUUUGGGUUUUUACAUCUUAUUAAAUGUAUAUAAUAAGCUACAUAGCAAAUACAUAUUUAUAUAUGAAGACAGCAAUAAGAAUACAUAAAAUAAUUAAUGAUAUCAAAAGUUAUCAUUAGUGUUUGGGUUUUACACUCUUAUUCAAAUCUAAUGUUAAAUUACAAAUUAAGUAGUAUUUUAAGGUUGAAUGUUCUACAUCUUUCUCUUAAACUAUAAUAUUACUUUUUUUAAAUUUUUUGGUAGAACUGGUGUUGUUAUUAUCAUUAUUUUUUAUCAAAAAUGAAUAUUUCAAAAAAAAUUUCACAUUAAAAGGCUAGUAGUACUUUGCUUUUUAUUUAGUGAUUUCAUAAUUUGGAUUUCAUGAAUGGUACCAUUCUUGAUUUUUUAAAUUCAUGACAUUAUUUCCUUUUUGUUUUCUAUUUAAUUUUGUCUUUUUACUUAGGAUUACUACGUUUAAUGAUAAAAUGUUAUCAUUUACUUUUUUACUUUUACUAAGUUUGGCAAUAUUUUUUUUUAUUUACCCUUCCAGUAAUAAACUUCAAACCAAAUUCCUAUAUAAGCGGAGCCACUACUUUUUUAAAUUAGAAAAACAUGAGAGCCACUUCUUUCUUAAGAAAAUGUUAUUUGCACUCAAUUUUUAUUAUUUGCAAUUCUACCAUUUUUUUUAUCAUAUAGUCUAAUUAAUAAAAAUUAUAUGAUCAAAAUGAUUAUUGAAGUGUGAAUAACAAAAAUGGGGUGUAAAUAAUCUUACUUAUUUAAAUUAAUAAGAAAGCAUGAAUGGAUGUUAUAUUUGUUAUCUUUUCUUAUGGUCUUAUAGAAGUUUUAAUUAUUGUAGAAUCAUAAAUAACGCAAGGCAAUCGGAAACGUGAUGGGUUGAAGUUCAAAUAGGAUAUCACUAGUAUUUUGACCCGUGCUAUGCACGGGGUUAUAUUUCAAAUAAAAAUAAUAUUUUAUAUAUUUAUAUAUUGUGGUACAAAAUAAUAAAUAUAUAUAUAGACUAAAAAUUUUAAAGAAUAUACUUAAUAUCUUGAAAAAAAAUUAAUAUAUAAUGAUUUACAUGAUAAAAGAAUUGUUAACGCAUUUAAGGAGAGGGUUAAGUUGGGUGGUAAGGUGAGAAGAGUUUUCUAAAAAAAAACGUCAAUUUAUCAAUAUCCGACAAAACAUAUUAUGUUAUACUCAUAUAUCAAAACUUAUAAUAUAAAAAAAUAAAUUAUAACCAAUUUAUUUUCUUCCAUUUUUAGAAAAAAUAUCUUUCUCCUAUCUUGUGCCCCUAAAAUUGUUGACUGCAUUUAGAUUAGCAUUUUUCAUAAAUUUUAAUGUAUAUUUUUAAACAAAUUCUCCAUAAUAUGUAUUUUUAGCGUUCUCAAAAUUAUUAAAAAUCACCAUCAUUUUUCUCUUCUCUUAUACGCCAGCUAGUCAUCAGAUGUCUCCUACAACUUUCAUAUCUUCUAUCAUGUUACCACCCUCUCUAUUAUUAUUAUUAUUUUUUGUUAUCUUUGUCAUAUCCCUACAAUCCCCUUUCUUCUUCACUCCCUUCUCUGCCCAUCCUUGUAACCCAUAUUUCUUCUUCAACUUUUCCUGCUACUUUUCAACAUCUCACCAUUUUCUUCCCUCGCUCCUCCCCCUAUACCUAACCGCUAAAUUCAUAUUCCUGCGACCCAAUAUAUUUAACUUUACCUAUUAUAAUGAAAAUAUAAAAUUGAAAAUCAAUUACAAUGGUUGCAAUUAUUAGUAUCUAAAAAUGGAAAUGAAAAACUGAUAAUAUCUAUAAUAUCCUAAAGUACUACAAUCAAUAUAUAUAUAUAUAUAUAUAUAUAUAUAUAUAUAUAUAUAUAUUAACAUAGCAAAUUCAUAUUUACAUAUGAAGAAAGCAAUAAGAAUACAUAAAAUAAUUAAUGAUACAAAAAGUUAUCCUUAGUGUUUGGGUUUUGCACUCUGUCAUUUGUUUCUGCCGCUUGGACUAAUUCCAUCAAUAUCGGGACAGCAAUUGAUGGUUAAGGAGUUUGGCGGUUUUCUUUUUCCUUACUUUAGGUUGGGUUUGAAAAAGAUCGCCAGUGCAGGCUGCUGAUGCCUGACCGCCAUAAUCUGAGUUGAUAUCUUGCAUGAAUUAUUUUGCCGUUUAUUGAUUGUUGUCUGCUAGCAUUAAUUAUUUUGCAGUUUAUUGGUUCCUGCUUGCCGAUCACUAGGUUUCAUUUUUUUUUUUUUUUUAAGAAAAAAAUAGUCACAACUUUCAUCUGGCCUCGCUUCAUGACUUUACACGACAUUGAUAGCUAAUGGGAGAUGUUUUAAUUUAUGGAAUGGUUCAAGGUUCUAGGAUUCAAGAUUCUUGAAUUUGAUUACACUGCCCUUUGUGGCACAAGAUAGCCUUCCUUUUGGCUUUGGCCACAUCUUUUUCAAAUUUUUUUUAAAACUUGGUAAUGUUAUAAGUAUUUAAUAUGCACUACUGCCCUCUUUGUUUGUUCUUUUCUUUUGAGUUGUAUGCUCACAAGUAGGAAUGCCCAAACAUUCCCCCGCCCCCGUCCCGCUUCUCCCAUGAGUGCUCGCAAGAGCUAAUAAAAAUUUGUUUUUUAAAUAGAAAAAAAGAAUUUUCAUUAAUGUAAAAUAAUGUCUACAACAAGUGUGGUAACAAUAAAAUCUGGAAGAAAGGCCCUCCAUAUACUUUUUUUUUUUUUUCAGAAACGUUAGAUAAUUUCAUUAAUAUAUUGUAAACUAUACAAUUGCUGAGCAAAGGCCCAAUUUGACUUUACAAGUGCAUCUUGGCACUAAGGUCUGAAUUCUGAAAUCUGAAUACUGAAACAAUUAAUUUGCUAUGAAUGUCUGAAUUUUAAUACUAAACAUAUUUAUACUGUUUGAUAAAUACUUAUAAUUGAAUGCUUAAUAAGUUUAAUUUGAUAAUUUUGCCCUUAUAUCCUUUCAUUCAAAAAGAAAUAGAAUCUAUGACUUAAUUAGUUUAAAAUUGUUAGGUAUGAACAUGAUAAUAUUUAUUUUUAAAUCAAAUUAAUAUAAAAGAUGAAAUAUAUUAUAUGAGGAGUAUGGAGAAGAUGUGAAAGCCAUUAAAAAGGAAGAAAAGAGAAACUAAAAAUCAUUAGAUAGAAAACAUUAGGUUGUGAAAGUCAUUAAAAGGGGAUAAAAGAGAAACUAAAAAUUGUUAGAUAGAGAAUAUUAUGUUGUUUAAUUAGAUAAGAAUUUUGAACAUAAUUUACAAACAAGGGUAGAUUUGGUAGAUAAGCUAAGGUAGUUGAAGUAAUUCUAUUGAUUCUUAUCAGAAUUAAGCAUUCAGUUAGGAUUCUUGUGCUGAAAAAAUACAUACAAGUUCAGCACUGUUUAACAAGUUCAGCAGAUAUAUUUUCAUUUAUCAAACACUCAAAAUAUCUGAAUGUCUGAAAAGGUUUAGUUUCAACACUUUUUUAUGUUAUCAAACAGACGCUAAGAGUGUAACCACUCUUCAUCAAAAGAAAUGCUUAAUCCAUGCAUGCUAACUAAAUCAACCCUUUCCUCCGUUAAGUUAAUGGAUAAAAUGAAUGAGCAACAUUGUUCAACUUUCUAGGUGCCCAUAAUGCUUUCUAGGUUGCAAAGCUUUAUAUAUCUAUGAGAAUAUAAUCCACAAAGUUGAUGCAUCCGAAUCCAUACUUUGAGAAUCAUUUUAAUAACUUCUUGACAAUAGAAAUUUGUUAAGUGCAAAAGAAUAAAAGUGUAACUAGUAAUUUAGUAUAAAUGUAUUAAUACAACAAAUCAUUAAUUUAUAGUAUUACAAAUGUAUAAUUAUUAGUGUAAAUAAUAAUAUUAAUUAUAUUACAUAUACAUAAUCUAAUACUUAUAACUACUAAUAAUAUCAAAUAUAUAUUAUAUAUAUAAUUAUAAUAUAUUUAUUUUUUUAGGUGGGUAAUGGGACAGGGGUAUACUCCCUUAUCCCCCACCCCAUUUUUUAAGGGGGACAGAAAAUGAUCCUUGCCUCGCCCCAUCUCUCACCCCAUCAAUCCCUACGGGCACCCGUCCCAAUUGCGAUCCCUAUUCAAAUGGAAUAUGGACCUAUAUUAAGGUAAAAUAAGAACGAAAUAAACUUGAUAUUAGUGGGCAAUAAAGGUUGGAUUAAUCUUGACAAUAUAUACAUGAUCAUUGUUCGAUGCAUGACAAGCAAUUUGAAUUUAAAUUUAAAUUUUAAAUUUUAUAUAUAAUAUAUAGAAGCAUAAUAAUGUAUGCAUUAUCAAUGUAUAUAAGAUUACCCACAAAAGUGAUGGAAUUGUACAACAAAGUGAUCAUGUAUAUGCUCAUUUAAACAAAGUAACGAGACACAACAAAGUGGCAAACAAAGAUAAUUUCAAACUCACCCUCUUGAUCUCAAAGUCGCGUUUGAGUUCAACCAAGUUGAAUUGUACAAAAUCGGACUCGUUUUGGUUCAACAAAAUGAAAAGAUAAGAGAUUGAGUUGAAUCUCAUGUUCUUCUUUCUUUUUGGAGCAAAUCUUCCCGUUCAGGCUUGAGUGCUUAAGCGUAAACAACCCCGUUGGAGCUCUAACAGAAAAGAACAUUUAUCCCUGUUUAUUUAUCCAGUACAUAGCCAAGUUUCAAGUCAAAAUAGGAGCAAAAGCAGCAAGAAGAUUACAACAGAAAAUUUUUAUUCCCAAAAGUAUGAAAGGCGCAAACAUAUUUACAUGCCGUUGUCUACAUUCUAUGCUUAAACAAUUUUAAAGUGAGUUCAUUAUUUUUUCUUGGCGAUAGGCGUCCCUCGAAAACUUGUCUUACGCGAAAUUUGGGUUUCCAUUCAUUUUGAUGUUGCAUUACAUUAGCAUUUGAUCAGAUUCAGCAUGGUUAUACUCCCCUCUAAUUCGAACCACAUUCUAAGUAUUUCGCCAACUAAAACAAAGUUGGAACGGAGUCUGAUCAAUUUGAAAGGACAGAAUCAUCACUUUUGAAGAAGUAUCAUAUAAACUUUUGAUGGGUGUCAAACCACCAAAAUUAAAAUUCAUACUCUAAACUUAAAUUCAAAUAUAGCAGUGAGUAGAGUCGUCUACUCAAAGACUGCAUGAUUUAUUUCCAUCCAAGCAAGAAUUAAAUGGGGGGUUUUGAAAAUUUAAAAUAAAAAAAAAAUCAAUUUAAGUAAAAGCAAUCAAAUGAAAGAAAAUUUAAAUUAAUUCAAUAAUAAAAAAGCUCUAGCCAAGGAUAAAAUUCUGGAAUUGGUUCGUACAACUGCUUAUUGAUCUAAUAAUAAUUUCAUCUAUCCAUUAACAAACAUGUUAUAAUUGCCAAACAAGUAAUGACGAUCAAUAUUUCCUUUUGAUAAUUACUAAUAGUUAAGGUACCUCGUAGAAUUUAAUUUAUUAGUUGCAUUAAAAACUAGAAAAACCAUGUUAUAAGGAUUUAUUUAAAUUAGAUCAUAUAUUUCCCUAAUAUGAAACCAAUUACGCUAGUUACCACUAAUUUAAGACAAUUAAACAAUUACGGAUUUAACUGUCUUAAUUGGCAAUGGAUUAUUAGGUUGAAUUAAAUAUCGAGCCCUUCAUAUUCAAAUAACAAAAUAACCAUGAGAAAUUAAAUCAGAAAACAUACGAAUAUUAAUGAAUAAAAGAAAUAGAUAAAACAAUUACGUCUCACAGUUGUAGUUGAACCAAACCAUUCGUUAUCCCAUUGACUAGAAAAAGAAAAUUACCCCACUCAUCCUUGGGAAUAAUCCAAGUAAUUUCAUUGACAAAAGUUGCAUAAGCUUUCGACAAAUAGGAAAACAAAAGAGAAAAGACGGACAGCUCCUUAGUUUUUGUUUUGUGCCGAGACUAAUAAUAAUCUCCUAAGAACAAAGACGUUCCUCUGUUUUUCGUUCGAGACUACUCAAUCACCUCUACAAAACAAAGAUAUCCCCUUUUUAAAGUCGAAGAAAACAAAAAGUGAAAGAAGAAAUCCCCGUUUCUCACGUUUCCUUCGAAAGCACUACUACUUUUCUAAUUUUUCCUAAGAAAAGGAUAUUUCCUAAAAAUGACAAAGGAUAAGCUAACUCGUUUCCUAAUACAGGUUGGAAAGACUGAAGGGCAAUCAUCUUGGGAACAGAAAAAUACGCUCCUAAGGACUUUAACUUGAAUUGGGAAAUUGCCAAACGUGCAAAUGUCGAUCUCUCCGGACUUGACAAUAGAAUUUGGACGUGCCCACAACAAACCGGUUCAUCGUCUUCUGAAAAAUUGCCUCCUUUCAUCACUUUUUUCCUCUACCUCUUACAAUUAACAUCAUUAAUCAAGCAUAAGUAGAAUCUAUCAAUUAAUAUAAUAUUUGAUCAAAAUUCAAGGAAAAAUACUCAUAAAUUUGACAGCAAUUACGCACCCUGUCAACUUUAUGUAAGAGGAAGGAACGAGAGAUUGAGCUCUUGAUAAUCAUCCAUCAUACACUCAAUCCACACGAGAUUCAUAAAUAUGGAGUUAGAAGCCCGCAGGGAAGGGAAAGUUAAAAGCAAUGUACUGGGUCGUGAUUUGUUGGUGCAAACGGGGUUGGUUGGUUUCAAAUGGGUGUGACCAUUAUACUUGUACAAUAGAUAAUUUUUGAGUGAGAAUUUUCAUUAUUCAACAUGGUUGUUUAAAAUUUGAGGACCCUUAAUUUAAUCUGUUCCAAGAUACUCAUCCACCUGAAAAUUUCUUAAAAUUGAGGUUUAACUUCUUUCUUGUCUCGGCUCUUUCUACUACUGUUGACUCUAUAACUUACAACAACAACCCCUUUCUCAAUUUUUCUUUGCUAAAUCAUACUACUGUGGCUUUAAAAUGUUGCUCUUGAUUGACAUUCCAAAACUAGACGGCCUAUCCAGUAGGUUACCAGGACCGAAAGAGGGUUACCAGGCCCAAGGUGUCGUCCUACCCACCAGGGAUUUUCCCUCUAAUACACGAUCCAGGCCAAUCAUAAGUGACUCUGGUUUGGGCUACCUUAUUCAUCUGGAAUCCGGGCUACGACCCUGAAUUUUUGUCAAACAUUUUGUUUGACAGUGAUAGAACUGUCAAACAUUCGAAUGACUUCCAUUUUACCAAAAGCCUGAUUGAUGGCAAUUUUGCCAGUUUGUCCAACAGCAAUAUGCUUCAGUUUGGAAGUAAAAUGUCUUUCUAUCUGAUUUGGGGUUUCCCAAAACGAUUUUACAAAUGGGCUAUAUGGUAUCUAGGAAGACCAUCUGUCAUGUUUUUGUGUGGCACAGCGAGUUGUUGAUUAAGCUAAAUCAUUACCUACACAUUAGCAUUUGAAGAAUAUUUGGUCCGAGGUAUCUGAAAUUUGAGAUGUUCUUGUCUGAAGAAGAAGUUUUGGCGGCGAAGGGAGAUCAUUAUUGGUAGGGAUUCCUUAGAAGAAGUUUGGUUUGUAAACUUAAAAUGUGGAUGGCUCAGCAGUAGAAUGGAGUCCGGGCCUGGUAGGUAGAGGUGGCGUGCUCAGAUCAGAAGUGAUGAGAGAAGCUUUUUCGGCUAUGGGGUGGUGAAUAUCGGACAGGCACAGGCUACAAGUCUUGCUGCACAAUUGUGGACGAUUGAUUGUAGCAAGGUUUAAAAGUAGCUUGAAAGUCUCAAAUUGAGGCAUGCUGGAGUGGAAUCCGACUUUAAACUAAGGCUAGACUUGGUUCGAUAUGCAGGAGUUUUAUCAAAACUUACUUUAGCAAAUAAUACCAUCAGGCGUUUCUUUGUUAUCAAAUUCACAGAUGUUGUUGAGCCGCUGUUAGCUUCAGAUCUUUGUAGGUGCUUCAGAAGUUGUUGAGUACGCUUUGCCUUUUACAAUAUCGUCAAAAGUUUAAUUGACAGAAGAUGAUAAGUAGACUAUCUUUCAUAAUUAUUUGGAAAGGAAGGAUUUGUGAUUGGUUUGGUAGAGCUAGUUGGAACUAGGAAAGGAUUCUUUCAUAUAAUGUAUGGCGCUAUGUCCCCAGUUUUUGUUAUUGCCGCAACCCAAUAGGUUUUGAGAUGUUAAACAUACGAAUUUGUAUUAGGAGUACCUGAGUUGAGGAGGGAAAUACCAGUGAGCCCUGAAUCCAAAGAAGGGUGCUGAAGCAGAUGAACACCUAUGGGUAUGGGGUACGGGUUCAUUGAGAUAACUAGAAGACCCAUACUUGAGGCCAGCAAGUACUUUAAAUGCUCCACAAAUUGGAUGGUUGAACAGGAGUAGCCGUGGACCGGAGGUUAAGUAUGGGAUUGAAACGAAUAUUGGCAGAAGAUUCAUUGUCAAUGCAUCUGUGAUCACUGAUUAGCGGGGACUAAGGCUAUACUUUCAAGACACUACUAAUUUUAACUCGCGUGCUUAUUAUAUCCCACCGGCAACAGCUAAAGGAGAAAAUAGGAGGAAGUGAUCAUGGAAAAACGAAGAUGAUAUCAUCACUAUGGACUUUGUUCUCACGGCUGCCUGCAACUUGGAACUCUGCAAUAUCAUCCCUAACAUAUGGGAAAACCAUGAAACAGCUGCCAGAGGACAGUUUGCUUGAAAAAUGGGAUCCCGGUGCAAGACUGAAUAAUUAUUACUGACAAAACCAAAAAUUUUAAGAAGCACGCAAAAUGCUAAAUCCGCUAUAAUUAGCACUUUGAGAAAUCCACCAAAAGAUUGAAACCAAGCAUUAUUGCUUUUCAAGCUUAAAAGUAUCACACGCAGUUUAGAUUUUCAUCUCUUUGAGAUAAAAGGCAAAACUUUACUUACACUUACAGGUUCUGUGCGACCGUUACGGGACAUUCACAAGCUUAUGACAACUUUCUGCAGCUGAUCCCAAUUCCGGGGUCAGCCUUUCAAUCAAAGUUUCAACUCCUCAUUUUUUUCAGUAUCAGAAUUCUAUGUGCAUUUGAUGUGGAAACAUUGGAAACUCCCAUCUUGUUGAGAGUUAUCAUGUAAUUUGAAUUCAAGGCCAAAAGCUCAUGGCUGAGGAACGGAAUUCCUGCUUCUGCUAUACCUUGACAAGAACACCCUGGCACUGCAAGAAAGUGAUCUCUUUACCGCAGAAGUCUCUUUUUGCGAUGAUCUCUCCACCGAAGAACAACCCUCCGAUCUCGACAAGCACUGCUCAUUGCCAGCUCCCUUUGGAGCAAGACCCAUACUUGAUCCAUUCAUUUGCAUAUUCUUGUUGUCUGAGUUUCUGUCACAUUGUGGUGGAAAUGCAUUAGCAAUAGCAGCACUAACUUUGAAGGCUGAUAAGGAAUCCAUCGAAACUGAUCUUCUGAGCGGUUGAAUUCCUUCCUCCUCUCUGGCACCACUAUUUCCCACAUCUUCCAUGAAAUUUUCAUUUCUCCUCGAUGCAUUUCCGGUUCCUACCCUUGAUUCAUCUUCCUCUUCCACCUCAACACCGACUUCAAGAACCUCACUUUCCCUUUCUCUCUCGGAAUCCCUAUUAUUUUCCGAAACUCCCAUUUGGAUUUCCUCCACACGACCUGAAUUAUGAUGACUCUGCGACGAAGACUGGAGGUUAGCCGUGCUCACAACAAUCCCAGCUCGGCAAUUGGGGCAAUUGGUGUGUGAUCUGAGCCAAGUAUCAAUGCAAGGUAUAUGAAAAGCAUGAUUACACUUGGGCAGCAGCCUUAAAGUCUCAUCUUCUUGAAAUUCAUUCAAGCAAACAGAGCACUCUGUUCCUUCCACCAGUCCAUCACCUCUUUUAUACUUACAAAUAGUGAUUGCAUUAAUCACAGACGACUGAAGACCAACUGUCCUGAUAUACCAUAUGGGAUGGUCAACCACGGGACCCUGAUCUUCAUCAAGAAAAUCCAGAUGGGCUUCUUCAUCCUCUCCAGGCUGCUGCUGGGGCUGUGGAAUCAAUUGCCUACUCCUUGAAGACGUAUACCGACGUUUAUAAAACUUGUAUAUCAUGUAGAUAGAGAAAAUCAAGAAAGUUGUGGCUAAAACACCAAGAGACACGGAGAGGGAGACAUAGAGUCCAGAUGGCUGGGUAGAAUGCUUGCCAUCAGAAAGCAAAGUAUGAUCAGGAGGUGGUGGAGGCAGACCGGGAAAGAGUGGAUGGUUGCAGGUUGGAUAACAUUGGAGUAUACAUCUGACCGGACAAGAUCCGUCUAGGUUGUGUACAGGAUCACAGAAAGAUAGACAAAGUCUUUCAACUGAAUUCUCGAGAGAAUCAUUAAGCAACUUCCUGUGGUGGAAGGACAUGGCUCAUUUGAUUUUCAUAACAGUGAUUUUUCUGGGGUGUUCUUGGUGGGGUGAAGGAAGGAAGAAAGGAAGGGAGGAGGGGUGGGGGCCUGGGGAUGGGGCUGGGGGUGGAGGUUGGAUGAGGAUUGAGAUGGAUGGAAGAGUCGGCGAAGGCUACCACUUGGAGUUGGAGUGUUGCUGAAUGUUGACUAAAGCUAAUACUUUUUCGUUUUUUUUUGUCAAAAGAAAAGCUUUUCUUUUUUCCUAAUCCGGCCAUUUGUUGAUCUUGACUUCUACGAAGGUCCGUCUAACUUUGAAGGCGGCAGAUCGUCCUUGCAUGUCUUAUUUCCCUAUAUAAUCCGUAUUGUAUUGGAAAUUGCAAAAGUAAUACAAAGUUCUGAAUUUUCUCAAAAUAAAGAUUUUACUUUGAAAAGACAAUUUCAAAAUCACAAUUUUAGAUGGCAAAUUCACAGGUUAUUUAUUCUUCAUUUCUCUCUAGAUUCCUUGUUCUAAAGUGGUCUAUAGUCAUCAUUUCAAAUAUUCGCUUGAAAGGAUCGAUCUAUAAUAGUAAUUUUUAAGUUAUCUUUUGAAAUAACGAAAUCUUUAUUUUAAAAAGAAUUAAAAAUUUUGGAAUUUCAAAUAAAUAUUGGAUUAAAUAGGUAAAAUCCCAUCAAGCUCACUCCAAAAUGGUCACUUUGUUUUUCUUUAGUUUUUAUCCAUACAUGGUCAUGUAGUUUUUUGGGUUAAUUACAGUUUGCUUCCCUGAAUUUGAUCCAUUAUAACACUCUACCCCCCUGAACUUUAAAUAUAUACACUUUGCCCUCUUCAUUGAUUAAUCAAAUUAAUGAUGAAUUCUCCAUCCAAAAUUUUAACAACAUAACAUUAAUGUCCUUACAUAAUAGUUCCAUAAUAAUACUAUACUUUUAAUUGAAAUAUGAAACAUCUUAUUAGAAAAAAAACACAAAGUCACAUGAUUUAAAAAAAUAAAAAAAAAAUACAAGAUGGUAUAAUAUCAAAGAAUUGAAAAUUUGUAUUGCAGAAAAAAAAAUUUAAAAAUUCUUAGAACAUCUGCCCAAAUUUUCCAUCACUUAUCUUUCUUCCUUUAAAUUGUAAACGGAUUGAUUUUAAUAAUUUUCAUUUACGUUGCAACUUUCACAAGAUUUUCAAGAGUCAAUAAAAUGCUAUUUGGUAAUUUUAUACCGCAUUCAUACCUUGCUGUGUAUUUUGUUUGAGUUCUAUAUUUUAAAAAAUAAAAAAUUCUCUAACUAUGUUUUUCAAUAUAUUUUUAUUUUUAAUCAUGUUUUUAUAUUAUAUAAAACACAUUAAAAAGUACUACAAUAAAAAAUAAAAGCAAAUAAUUUUUAUUCCAUAUGUACUAAUUAAUUUUUAUUUCAUUUAAAAUAAGUACUACUAUCGGCAAUGAAAUAAAUACAUUGUAUAUUUUUUUGGAAUCAAGGCGUAUUUACAUUUUGAUUCACACGUGAAAAUUCUCCUUGAUUAUGUGGACAGCAGUAGUAUUGUGUAACUGUGUUGCAAUUGUUGGGUUAGUCCAAAUUCAACUGCAUAGUGGUGAAUGACGCUCAUUGUUGUUUCUUUCGUCUAUAUGGGCAUUACCUUUUUCUUUUUCUUUUUUUUAAAAAAAAAAAAUUUUCAGCGCAAAAACAAAAAGUGUUUAAGUUAGAUUUAAGAGAGUUGUUGGCUAGUUUCAACUUAUUAGUGCAUUAUGCUCACAAAUAGGGAACAAAUAAGCGCAGUAAUGCCACUGCCUUCUCUUGUCUCCGCACAUUAAUUCCAAAGAACUUUCAACCGAAACACUACGGUAGAAGCUGGUGAACUCACCAUGAGAAAAGAUCCAUUUUCCAAUGGAUAAAUAUUUUCUUUAGCUCAAAACUUCAGCAUUGUAAUUAUAAUUCUCUAGUUAAAUUUUUUUAAAAAAAUAUAUAUAUAUAUAUUGGCAUGGCCCUCCACAUGAGCACAACUUUCUUUCCUAAUUUUGAAUGGGAACAACCAUCAUUUUAUUUCAGUCAAUUGUUUUACAUUUGAUAAAUGCUCCAGCUGGAGAAGUAGAACCAGCAAUGCAUGUGGGAGCAGUUUAAUUUGGUCAACAACAAGGUACAUUUUUUAAGUAAUUGGUUCCGAAUCUGAGUUCAUAAAGGAGUUUUCUAGCCAUCACAAGUUGGCUUAAUUAACGAGAAUGAGUCAUUUUCUUGUAAAAAGUUGUAUGCUCAAAAUUAGCUGUUAAUGUGACGGUUGUGUUGAAAAAGAAUCUGUGAGAAUCUCUGUAAACGACCUAUGGUCCGGAGAGAUAUGCCUUGACUCAUAGUGAUGACCGGAGUCGAACCACCCAAAUUUUAAUUUACCCAAAAAAAAAAAAAUGGAGUUUCUGAAAAAGCAUCCACAACCAUUAAAACAGCUUGCCUAUUUGACCUAUCUGAUAAUGACUUCCAGGCUGAUAUUACCCGCAGAUUCUUCAAAUCCGGCUGCCUCGUACAUGAAAUUCUUUCCCUGAAAAAUGUGGUGCUGAUUGUAAGAGUCGACUUGAUGAACAGUAAUAAAAGGUACUGAUAUUUAUUAGUUUGCCAACAAUAAUCAAAUUUAGCUUAACAUAGUAAACGAAAUUAAUCUCGUGCUUAAUUUCAGUUUUCAAUUCUAGUGGUGGUACGUUUGAAGUAGAAGAAUCAGAUUGAAUUUGAUUAAUGCAACCCUGCCAUCUUUGUUUGUUUGUUUGUUUGUUGAUGAUUAUACUAAAUAGAAUACAUUAGUAUGGUUUAUAUUUUGAUUGUUCAGCUGCAUUUUGCACGAAUGAUAAGAAGUCAGUUCGUGAUAUAAUUAAUUACUAAUGGAUCGUUGUCAGUUGGGUGACCUAUCAAUAAUGAUACUUGAAGCGGAAAUAAUUACUGAUCACUACAGGGAAUAGUAUUACUAUUAUUUUCCACCCUGGAAAAAGUCCUCCCUCCGUAGCUAACUAACAACCCUGUCAUGCUCUUACGUUACUUCACCAGAAAGAAAGAGCAAAGGGCAGGGUAAAAAAAAAAAUGGAUAUAUAUAUAUAUGAUCCUAUAUUAUACACCCAGCAUUAGCAUUAAGAAGAAAGCAGCUUAAUUAAUUGGAAGAUUUGACCUGUGAAAUUUGUUUCCAAGUACUAUGGUAUAUAUUUAGAAAAUCAAAUUGGAAGAAAAAACGAAACAUUACUAACUUGCACGGAAGAUGUUGCUUGCGAAAAUUUUAACUUAAAAAAGUGAUCAUAGGAUUAGGAAAGCUCGCAUCAUACCUUGGCGUGUUCGUAUCGAUCUGCUGCUCUCAAGUUAGUACUAAUUUUAACGUUUGGACCCAUAUUGUCUACACGAACACGUUCUGUCCAGUUCAAUUCGACCAAAUUAAAAGACUUCCAACUUGAGUUGUGGCAUCCCUCUCUAUAGCUAACAAUAAUAUACCAUCAAACCUAUUCAUUCAUCAACGAUAAGGAGUCCUUGUUCGAUCAGAAAGUUCUUUUUUUUUUUGUUGUUUUCGGGUGAAUGAUAAGCCUUUGGUCCGGUGGAAAAUCUGUUCAUCAUAUAGUACCAAGUAUAACUAUGUCAGCUGCUGCAAGAAACUCUCCCUACAAACUUCAGGAUUUGGUCACCCUACUUUACCGUUAUAGACUUUCUUCAUCGGUGGCAAAUGCCGGCAACCGCCAGUUCUUGUCAUCCAAGUUCCGUUGUGGCAAUUACAUGAAUCAAGGGUACUUAAGAUCAUUCACUAGCGCCCCCAUCGACCAAGCUGAUGCAAAAGGAAAACCCGAUUUUCAAAUGUAGCAGUCUCUCUCUCUCUCUCUCUCUCUCUCUAUAUAUAUCAUCUGCUGUCUCAUCUUCCAUUUUGCUAAAUAUAUUCUUCUUCUUUUUUCUACCUGUUCUUUUGGGGCUGUGUUUUGUUUGUUGUAGAUUGAAGGACGCAGAGAAGAAGGUUCAGCCAACGUUGCCGGCUUCUGCUGACAAGCAAAGCUUUUCAUCGUGGUAAUUAAGAACUAGCUUGUUUGGCAUGACUAAGGAGUACGCAGUAGGCAUGACUCAGAUAUGCUCCUCUGAAUAAUGUGCAAUUUUCUUAAUGAGUAUAAUAAGGGUAUGGAUCAUCUGGAGAGUAAUGCAUAUCCCAGCUUGAGUCCUCUCUUAACAAGUGCAUAUAUUAAGUACUCGUUAACCAAACUGAUUGUUAAAUGCUACUUCAUCCAAGGAAAAAGAUUGCCAAUGUAAAAAACACUUAGUUCUGCCUAACCAAAAAAUAUAUAGCUACUCAAAAGAUAACCAAUGAAUUAGACUUCAUAGAAACACAAAUUCCCCAGUUAGAAAGGAUGAUCUAUGUCAUACCCCACAAACUAUGAACCAAUCUUUAUGCCACAUCUAACAGCUAAGAAGAACAGUAAUUUACGCUUCUUGCUUAUUAAUUCAGCCUGCAUAAAAGUUUGAUUCGUUCGCUGCCUUCAAGUUCCCUCUCAACAUUGAAGACACGAUCUUUUUAUGGAUUAAAGGAGAGAACUAAAUUCUGCAGGGCCAAGUGGCUUUUGGGUUCUUUGAUGACAUUAUUGUUGCCUUUCUGGAAGCAAGAGUGGGAAAGCUUACGAGGACUGGAAGGUACGUUUGUGUUAUGCGUACAAAACAACGAUUCUAUGGGGCCGGGUAUUUGAUUAAAAGGUGAUUUAAUUACUUGGAUAGUUGCAUCUCACUAAAUUAAAGCUUCUUUGAAUCAUAAUCGGGGAGCGUCCAGGGAAGGUGGAAAAGGUCGUUGGAGAGGUAGAAGUUGUAGCGGAGGUGGUGGAGAACGUGGCCACUGUGACGGAGAAGGUGUCAGCAGAGGUGGCUGAAAAGCUUCCGGACAAUAACAAAAUCAAAGAAGCUGUGCUGGCGGUAGAACACUUAUCAAGUGUGGCCGCUCAAGAGGCUAAAUUAAUCGAAGAUUUUAUUCACAACGUAUGUGGAUCAGUUAAGAAUAAAAAAGAAAACCAUUUGCUGUAAAUCAAUUACUGGUUCACUAAUGGCAGCUUGGCUACUUUGGGUUGACAGGUUGGUGACAUGAAGCAAGACCUGAAAGAGAUGGAGAAAAUAGCAGAGCCUGCAAUUGAAAAAGUAGUGGAACCCCAUCAUCAAGAACAAGCAGCUUAGAUGGACGCGAUUUUCUCGUGGCAAGGAGUAUUUUCCACGGCACUAAACGUGCAAUGCUAAUUAGUUCCCUGAUCCAUUUCUGUAAAAGCCUCGUCUUUGUUCUGUAAAUAACUGAUCAAUUCGUACGUGCAAUUUGCAGAUGGCUAUUGAAAGACCAAUAAGUUGAGCUUGGAAAAUGCUCUUUUAGAUUCCACUUGAUGAUCGAAUUUUGCGUAAUUAACAGUCUAUUAAUUGUUUUUGUUCUUCUGAAAGCCAUGCAGCUUCAUCAUAGACUAUAUCUGUUUAAGCAUUUAACUUCCAGCCAAGAAGCUACAUUUGUGUCUCUUCCAACUCCAUGCAUCUCCCAAAUUACCUUAGUACAAUAUGUAGCCAUCAUUGUCCUAUUUGCGAAAAGUUCCAUACCGCCAUCAUUGUCAAAAAAAAUAAUUAAUUAAAAUUAAAAUACUACUCCCACCUAGAAUUUUACAGAAAAUAAAAAAUAAAAAAUAAAAUACUACUCCCUUCCACGUGACAUGUUACACGUUAGGCGAUGGAUGUCAUUGUAGCAAAAAACUAAUUCUAGUGUCCAUGUAAGAUCUAUGUUGGUAGGCCAUAUAUAAUAACUUCUGUAAGUGACCAUGUCCUAAGCCAUAGUAGUGAUUAAAUUCGAACCCAUUUGAACUUUUAAUUAGUAAAAAAAUUUAUUGGAGAGACCCAGCAGAAUUAAUAACAGAGGCAGCAGAAGCCCCUCAGAUUUCAGAAUUGAAUGAAAGUCUGUGGAAUGCGGAUUAAUACCACGUAACAACCCAUAGGCUUUUUUAUCCGCCGCUCUAUAUCACGUCAAUAAUGAGUGUGUCUAGGUAGGUAGCAGAUUAUUCGAAAUAAUUUUUUAAAAAAAUUAUUAUAAUAUUUUUUUAAUAUAAUAUAUAUAAAAUAAAAAUAUUAUUGAAAAAUAUGUUAACAAUACAAACAACUAUUUUCUAAUCCAUGAUGAAGAUUAAGGAUCAUUCUUUUAUAAUUGGGUAGAUAAGAUUUUGUUAAUAUCCGAAAAAGAUACAAAAUACAAGGGGCAUACCCUAUCCGGCCAUAAAUCAACCAACAAAGACACAGAUACGCUCACACUGUUGACAAAUUAUCAUUUAGAGAGAAAUUACGCGUAUUUCUUCUCUCGGUAUAAUCCCUGAAAAAAUCGCUAAAUGGAUGAUAGCUUGAAGGUUCAAAUCUUCAGCAGAAAGCUGAUAAAACCAUCAAAUCCAACUCCAAGUCAUCUUAGAAGCUUCAAGCUUUCAUUGUUCGAUCAGCUAGCUCCUCCACUAUAUGUUCAUAUACUCUUCUAUUACUUGCUUGAUGAAGAUCACAAUCGAGCCGAAAACGAUGAGAGAUUUGCUCAAAUGCAGAAAUCCUUGUCCCGGGUAUUAUCCAAGUAUUACCCUCUAGCUGGCAGAUUCCUUAAAGAUGAACUCUUGAUUGAUUGUGCGGAUCAAGGAGUUGAAUACUUUGAGGCACAUGUCAAUGGAGAACUUGUGGAGUUUCUUCAAGAAGGACCAGAGAUUGAGCUUCUGAAUAAAUUUCUGCCCUGGAAUCCUCCUCCGUCGCCAUAUCUGGCAACAAGUCCACUAGUAGCAGUCCAAAUCAACAAGUUUGAAUGUGGAGGAGUAGUGGUAGGCAUCCAAAUUUCACACUUCAUUGUAGAUGCCAGUUCAAUGAUGACAUUCCUGAAGGAAUGGGCUAACAGCUGCACUAGCCCGACAGAGAUGUAUCCAGUGCUCAGUCCUAAUUAUAAUGAUCACUUUGUUUCAAUCUUCCGGCAAGAACACUAUCAGGGCCUAAACCCCGGACCAGCCGACUACCCUGCUAAGAUAGUCACGCAAAGAUUCUUGUUAGAUGAAACGAUAAUAGAGAAGAUCAUGGAAGGAGCUGCUUUAUCUUGUUCAAAAUGUAAUUUUCAUCCAUCUAGAGUGGUGGUAGCGUUAGCACUGAUAUGGAGGGCUCUCCUAGGAGUAUGUCUUGCCAAACAUGGGCACUUCAGGGACUCAAUUGUUGCUAUUGCAAUGAACUUGAGGGGGAAAACAGCUCUAACAAUAUCAGAACCAAAUUAUGGGAACUUUUGGACCUCGGUCAUAGUUCCAUUGGAAGCGAAAAAAGCCAAGAUACAGUUGCAGGAGCUGAUGAUAUUACUCGAUAAUAGAAUAAAAUCCACAAGUGAAAAACUUGCAACAGCUAGUCCUGAGGAUAUUUCAUCAAUGCUGAUCGACUCCCGCAGAGAGAUUAUUGAGAAACGUUAUCUGUCCGUUGGUAUAGAUGUUUACGUUUGUACCAGUUGGUGUAGGUUCCCGAUACAUGAAGUUGAUUUUGGUUGGGGAAAACCACAUUGGGUAAGUCAUGCAAGCAAAGCAAUUGAGGCGAUUGGUUUGGUGGAUGCCAAAAAGGGAGAGGGGCUUGAAGCAUGGGUAAGUUUGAAAGAGGAGGACAUGAUCGAAUUCAAAAGAGCACUGGAAGUUUUAGUGCCAGUGCCCAAAUGAUAAUUCUAGCGUCCUUGAAGUUUAUACUGUGAUUCCACUUUGAUUAGCUACAUUUUACGGUAACAUCGAAUCUUGUUUUCCCGUCCUUUGUACUGCAGUUAUGGUGCUAAUAUUCUGAAAAUCAUGUUUAGAAUUUGUUUUUCAUCUUAUACUUUUUUCUGACAAACUAAGACAAUGCCAGUACUAUUUAUUUAUUCGAUUAACAGAUCAGCAGAGUGAGGUGUCUCCUGCAAUUCAACCGUGUAAAUCUUCCUGUUUGAAAGAACUAGUUUUGCCAAGGGACUUAUCACUUAUCAGGGCUAUUCCCCUGAUCGUUUCAAACUUUAGCUCAUAUCUAAUGCAGUCAGCUGAAGCUACAUUAUCCUCAAUCACAUGAAAAUUGCCAAAUUGCGUCAGACAUGCUAGAUUGGAAAAGACCUCACAGAAAAAGAACCUCCCAAGUCUUUAAAGAGGAAGUUCAACAUUGUAUCAUCUUUUGAUCUUUCAGAAUGGUAUUCCUAUAUACAUCAGACAGGCUUCAAGAAGUAAACAAUUUUCAGACAACUAUUGCACAAAUUGCAGCUAAAAUGCAUAAAUCAGGAAAAAAGAAUGACACGCAAUGCAUGACAGUAGAAAGAACAUAUAAUGACUAUCACUAGAAUAAGGUUAUAUUAUUAUCUGUAUGUCAAUCCUUUUGUCACUUCAAUCUGAAUUGAAAUCAUGAAAACUGUCAGUUCAUCUCUUGAUCAUGCCUGAAUAGCAAUCAUCCAGUGCUGAUUUUGCCGCUGGAAACAGAGAAGCUUACAAGUCAGAUCCAUUUAUUUAGCUCCCAGCGCUGGGUUUACCAUUCUUGUUGCUAAUUAAGUUCGGAAAACCAUUUGAACUGAAGUCAUAUAUGUGGCCCAAUUUGACACGUUUAGUUUCCAAAUAUCUCUUGUUCUCUUUUGUAAUGAAACUUUGAAGAGGGACGCGCCCAGCAACCGCUAGACCAUAGCCCUUGAGCCCACUGUACUUUGCAGGGUUGUUUGUCAUCAGCUUCAUUCCACCCAUGAGGAACCAAUAGACUUCCACCCCUGGCUGACUCUUGAACAUUCACCUACGGAUGCUUCUUAGACUGAAACAAAGAUAACUUUUGCAACAUUUCCUUCUUUUGUAGAACUUCCUAAAUCUGUUCUUGUUGCCAUUAUUAUUGAACUUGGGUGUAGAUAUCAUGUUUUAGCUAUUUCUCUAUCUCUGGGUCCCCUGUUGUUGAUGUAUCUUUGCCUAUUCAGUGGCUUUUGAAUCCUUAAGCUGCUUCAUUGGAGAGGAAACUCACUGUGAUUUAAUCUUUUUCCAUGGUUAGUCUGUUAACCUGAACAGUAUCAUGAGUACAAGUGCGUUCCACAGAGAGAGAGGGAGAGAGGGGACCUGAGUACUAUCAUGUUUACAAGGGUAUUACACGAAGAGAGAAACAGGUGUGUGUGUGUGUGUGUGUGUGUGUGUAUAGAGAGAGAGAGAGAGAGAGAGAGAGAGAGAGAGAGAGAGAGAGUAAAGCUACAGGAAAAUUGUCAGAUAUGGUGUUGAAUUCUGCUUAAAAUCAUUUAGCUCAUCAACAAUCAGCCCGGAAAAAACAGGCUACUGCCACCUUAUAUUAAUUUCCUUAUUUGUUGGUAAUAGUUUAUGUGGUGGAUGAAUAUUAGCAGGAUGCAAUGGGAGUUGAUGACUAAGACCUUGAAUAAACCAAGAGUAGUCAUACCUUUGAAGUAGUAUGCACCAUGGAUUUCUUAUAUUAGCAUUGAUAUACCAUAUAUUUGGUCAGCCAUGAUAUUUUUAUAUUAAGAGCAGAAGAUGUUAUCAUAAAGCUAUGUGGCUUUUCCCUUUCAUUUAAAUUUCAUAGCAGUUCUGCAGUUGUUUAAUCUGUGUCAAUGUUGCACUUACUGAAGGGUAAACAUGGAGUAAAGUCUUAAGAAAACAGACUCGACUCUUAAGCGCAGAUUAAUUUUUUUGUACGCACAGGUGUCAUUUUGAGUUUUUCUUUUCAGUUUUAAUCUUCAUGUGCGUCUGAAUCAGGUAAUUGAGAGUCCUAAUCGUAGAUCAUAUGAGGUUGGGAUUGCUGUAUAAAUAGCAUGUAUGGAUCUAUUAUCCUGGGUUCUUACCUUUAGCACUAAUUUAUAUUCUCUUUUCAAGUCUGAUGGUUCUAAUGAGGAGUUUUUUUGGAAAGAUAUAGUGCCUAACUAUGAAAUGGUUUACCCAUAGUAUAUGUUUUAUGAUCGUCUUAACCUCCUUUCUCAAGGGGAAAAGAUUGAUGAAGAUGCUUCAUCUGGGGAUGCAUUUGAAGAUGCGCUUGAAUCUGAAUUCUUGACCGCUGAUAUUGUAGAUUCUGAGGAGGUUUGUAUUAUAUGCCCCAACUUGUUCCCAAUAGAGUUUUUUCUUUUUCUUUUUUUUUUGAAAAACCUCUUGUAUUUAAAUUUGAUAGGAACACAAACUCUUGACAUGUUCUUUAGUGCUAAAACUGUCUUUUACACCUUGUUCUCCUGUGAGGAUAAUUAGUAUGACAUUUUCUUUUUAUUUAAAGCUUUGUGAGCUGAUGGUAUUGGUAGAAUUGUUAGAAUUAACAUACGUCUUUUGCCAAUAAAGAAUCAGAAGUCAUGAUUGGUUUUGACCUUAGUGGUGUUAGUUGCUUUCAGAUUUCUAAGCUUAUUGUUGUCAGUCUGUUUAAUUUUUUCUAAGACUUUACUGUUAAUUAUCUUUUUAUUAGUAUGCCAUAUUCCUCAUUCUUAGUUGAUACUAAUUUAUCAGGAGGUGCCAGUGGGCUUAGAGGAGCCAUCUGGGGGCAACGAUUCAACUCUGCUGCCUAUUCUUUGUGUUGAAGAUGGAUUGGUGAUUCUACGUUUUUCAGAAAUUUUUGGCCUUUAUGAGCCUUUAAAGAAGUCUGACAAAAGGGAGCGCAAAUAUCCUGUUCCUAGAGGUAUAUAUUUUCUGUACCUGAAUGUUUCGAGUAUAUUGCUGCUAAUAAAUUUUAUGGCAGUAAUAUAUUAAUCACUUGCGCUUAUUCACCUUAUGCAUCUCUUUAUGGACUUCCAGUUUAGCCAUUGGUCCUUUCCUCAUGUUGAAUGUUUUCAGAUAAAUUCAAGACUAUGGAUACUCCAGAAAAUGUUGAAGAAGAUGAGGAAACAUUCUUGAAGGGAUCCGGCUUAGAUGUGUCUGGUACGAGACAAGCCCAAGUGGCUCAACACAAUGUUUUAACAUUUAUGGACGAUGAUUUAGGAUCGGGGAAGUUUGGUGUUAUCCAGGAAGAUGGUAAAAUUGAUGCAGAAGUUGACCAGUGUAGAAAAGAUUCUUGUCAGAGUUCUGAACCAUUUAAAGAAGAUUUGCCAGUGAUGCUUCCUCCAGAGUGGAACUCACCUAUUUGUCCAAAGUUUUACCCUCUUGAUCAACUAAACUGGGAGGAUAGGAUAAUUUGGGAUAAUUCUCCAGCACAGAGUUCCAGUGUUGAAGAGAGUUGUGAGAUGUCUGGACCUGAUUCUGACGUACUGGGUGAUAAGAAUUUUGAGGCCGAUACUCACCCUCUGGUGUCAGAUCUUGAAAGAGAACGUUGUGAACAUGAACAUCCUUUUCGUCAUGGUUUUUCCAUAUCACCAGAGCCCUUUGGUUCAGGAAGUCUUUCUGAACCUUCGAAACUGCCUUACUGUGAAAGAAUGUAUCAUCCUCAACUUUUAAGGUUAGAGUCUCGAUUUGAUCAAGAUGAUCCAAAUAAUACUGACCUUGGACAUGAAGGAGGCUCUGAAAAAGUUCUAGGUAAUGGUGUCAUAAGCCGUUUUAAUAGGCUUAUGUUAGAGAAUGGAGAUCUGCAGAAGGAUCUUGGUUGGACAAUAUAAUUUGGGAUUCAAAUCAGCCCAUUUCAAAGCCGAAGCUGAUAUUAGAUUUCCGAGAUGAACAAAUGCUUUUUGAAAUUCAAGAUAAUAAGGACAGUAAGCAUCUUAGGCUUCAUGCUGGUGCUAUGAUUAUAACCCGUUCAGUCAAGCCUAGUACUGGUGACUCUGUCGAGCUACAUAGUCAUGGAGGUCUUUCAGGAGGUAGGUUUAACAUCUCAAAUGACAAAUUUUACUCAAAUAGGAAAUCUUCCCAGCAGGUGAAAUCACAUAUGAAGAAGCGUACAGCUCAUGGUCUCAAAGUUCUGCAUUCAAUUCCAGCACUUAAGCUGCAGACGAUGAAAGCUAAGCUAAGCAAGUAAGGGUUGAGUGCCACAUUCUUUUUGUAGUUCUUUUACCAUAGAUGGUCUGUUUUACUUUGUUUAACAUGUGUAAAUUUUUAUGCUUGAGGCUUGGCUGUUUAUUCAGCAAGUUGAUCUUCUUAUUAAGUUCCAAUCUUGACCCUUUGUCAGUUUUCUUACUUGUCUACUUUUCCUGUUCUAAUCUUCUUUUGAACUUAUUGUCUUAGUUCAUGUUGUUUUUUUUGUUAAAAUGUCAUCUCUUAUCCAGUAUGUGAGGUUAUUUUUGUCUUCUACUUGCAUUGGAUGCUCUGUUUCCUAUUCGUAUUAUGGCUUUGAGUGCGUGUUAGUCUGCUACUGCUUAUUGUGAAUUUUUUGAUGUACUUUCAGUAAAGAUAUUGCUAAUUUCCAUCGACCAAAAGCUUUAUGGUAUCCUCAUGAUAAUGAGGUGGCACUGAAAGAACAAGAGAAGCUGUCUACGCAAGGACCUAUGAAGGUCAUAGUAAAGAGUUUGGGAGGCAAAGGAUGUAAACUUCAUGUGGAUGGCGAGGAGACCAUCUCUUCAGUUAAAGCUAAAGCUUCAAAGAAACUAGGUCUCACUUUUAUUAUGCUUCUGAUGUUACUAAAUUUCGUUGUUAAAAUCUAGUUGUUCUUCGUUUGCUAUAGAAUAUGGAAAUAUUGUUUUAUCUCUUGCUUGUAGAUUUUAAAUUGUCUGAGCCAGUGAAAGUGGUUUAUUCUGGAAAGGAGCUAGAAGACCACAAGGCUCUUGCUGCACAAAAUGUGCGACCAAACUCCUUGUUGCACCUUGUUCGUACAAAAAUCCAUUUACUACCCAGGGCACAAAAAAUCCCUGGUGAGAACAAGUCUUUGCGUCCUCCUGGGGCAUUUAAGAAGAAGUCCGAUCUUUCAGUAAAGGAUGGUCAUGUCUUUCUGAUGGAGUAAGUCUUAAAAGUUCUUGCUUAUCAUCUAUACACCAGUCCCUUAUGAAUACAAAAGAUAGUCCAACAAUCUCAGUCAAGAUUAAUUCUAUUCCAUGUAAUUAGAUCAGCUUGUGAUUUGUUAGAUGUGAAGAUCUUGGUCAUAAUAAAGUAUUGUUUAUUGGAACUGUGGGGCAGAAUACGUCUUCACCUUGACUGUAAUUUUUUUUCACGUUUACAAUAGUGAAAAGUAUAUCUGAGGUGCUGAAUCAAUGAUUAUGUUGCUGUUUGCAUUAUAUUAAAUGUUGCCACCUCCUUGUCUAACAUUCUGUUCGUAAACACUAUAAGACUUUGUAGAGUAAUUGUGAUGGUUUGUUUUUUUAUGGUUUAAGCAUAUAAAAUUGUCAUGGAGGAGGAAGAACUAGUAAUGCAGGUAUUGGUGCGAUGUCUUGGUUGUUUAAGAGUUAAUACAUCGUUUUCCCAAGGUUCUUAUAUGAAGAUGGUUAAGUAUGUUAUUCCUGUGAUUCUUCUAUUGGAACUUAAGAAUAAGUUUCAUAACACGUAAAUGUAGCACACCAAAUUGGAAAUGUGGAGUUUUUGAACUCUAAACAUGUUCUGCCACAUGCAUUGCUAUUAAGCAUUCAUUGUGAAGAACUUAAGAGUGAAGGAAAGAUUGAAAGAUUGAGCAUUCAUUUUUCUGUCCUUAUUUGAUGGGUUCAUCUUUGAAACAAAUUUAUUGCUUGGAGCCCUCCAGAGGUCUAUUUCUCGUGCUUGUGCUGAUGGGAUGUGUUUAAGUCGCAAAAUGGAGACUUGUCAAACCCUUACAUAGGGAUCCUUGACAGGGAGAGGGUUUACUAUUUCUAUUAAAUAUAGGCUUGUCAUUGUGAAAUGGAUUACUAUUUUAUCUUUCUUUUUUUGGGUCUGAGCAUGGAGAGAAGUUGGGGUGGGGGUGUUCUUUAACAGUUGUAAAAUUUGGCUAUGCUGAAACCUCUAGAGUACGUGUCUUGCAAUAAAUGUUUGACAUGUCAUAAAAUUCUGUAAAUAAUUGCAUCUCUCUGAUGUUCUUUCUUUGGUGUGUUACUGGCAGAUACUGUGAAGAAAGACCUUUACUCCUGGGAAAUGUGGGAAUGGGUGCAAGACUGUGCACUUACUACCAAAAGUCUGCCCCUGGUGAUCAAACAGGGAACUUAAUGCGAAAUGGGAAUAACGGAUUGGGGAGUGUUUUAAUCCUAGAUCCUGCUGAUAAAUCCCCUUUUCUUGGGGACAUAAAACCUGGUUGCAGUCAAUCAUCUCUCGAAACCAAUAUGUAUCGAGCACCUAUAUAUCAGCAUAAGGUGUCAUCAGCUGAUUUUCUAUUGGUCCGAACCGCAAAAGGAAAACUUUCAAUAAGACGAAUUGACAGGAUUGAUGUUGUUGGACAACAGGUUAAAAAGAUUUUCUUUAUCUUUUAUUUUUCUUUAAAUAUCUCGGAAGGGUUACAUUUCAACCAAAUCUAUUGUGUUACCUUGGAUUUGUUGCUUGAUGACAGGCAUAGGUACAUGCUCGUGCGAAAAUUGUUUGAUCUGCUUGUCUCUGUAUACAUGGAAUAUCUCUCUCUCUCUCACACACGCGCACACACACACAGAGUUGCCUUUCAUGUUCCCUCUUCCACCACUACAUAUUUAAAUUUUUGUUUGCAUGUUAGAAUAACUAUUCUUGCACAUGGUUGACGAGAGGUUUGAAGGCUGGUCUCACCCAUUUUGAGAGAGGAGUACAGAAGAAAGUCCCGUUAUUCUUUCUGCUACGAAAGUUGGUUGUUUGUAGCUAAUGAAUACUUAAAAGAUGUGAAAAUUCUGUAUAUGGCUCUGAAUGAUAUAAAUUUAUUGAUUCAAAAGAAUCAGAGGAUAGAAAACUGCAACUUCAAGGUCAAUGCUAAUCAUUAAAUUCCUGCAUAGUACUUGCAUAGAUAGAGCAAGUUGGGUUUGAAUGAAGGGAAGAGUGGGGAAAGGAAUGUAUAUAGUCUAGUGGCAAAGAAAUGAAAGUAGUAGCAUAAGUAUAGUUGUGGAAAAAGAAAAGAAAAAAGAAAAAGAAAGUGCAUGAUAAAGGAUUUUUUCUGCCUUUAUCAGUUUUGUUUUUCUCUUCAGGUGUCUUAAAGUUCUACAGAUUUUGUUUUCUGGAGAACAAAUUCUUUGGAGCUUAAUUAGUCACACACUUCAUAUCAUUUCUCUGUGCAGUACUUGAUUUAGAAGUUGCUUAGGUGGUCUUGUCUUGUCUUGCUUUUGAUUUCAGCAUCUUUGUAUUCAGCUGCAGCUUUCUGAUGGCUUUCAUAAUGGUUAAAUGAGUUGAAGGAAAAACCAGAAAUUUUCUUUUAUUGACUUUGGGGUUGUUUUCUGUAGCUUUUGUGAUCUGGAGAAGUAUUCAUUGCAUCUAUAUUCAUUUUGUUAUUGUAAUCUGACUAUCUUAUUAUUAAAGCUUGAUAUAUGUCUGAGGGAACGAUACAGCUAGAAGUGAAGUGAAGUUUGGGAAUAACCUCUGUUGUGCACAUUUUGAAUUCUAUUUCUUGUUUCACCUAAAAAAUCAUAGCAAAACUUCAAUUCUUAAUUUUAUCUUGUUUCAUGUCAACUAUGUAGGAGCCUCACAUCGAGGUAAUGUCUCCUGGAUCAAAAAGUGUUCAAACAUACAUUAUGAACAGGUUGAUGGUGUACAUGUAUCGUGAGUUUUCUGCUGCUGAGAAGCGUGGGUUACGGCCUUCUAUACGCGCUGAUGAGUUGUCUGCACAGUUUCCCAGCCUGUCAGAAGCAUUUCUUCGGAAAAGGCUAAAACAUUGUGCUGAUUUGCAGGUAUUAUACCUUUGAAUCUAGUUUACGGAUAUAAUCGAAUUAUUUGGUUACCAAUCCGACAACCUCAACGUCAAUCCCACUCCCCGGACUCUGCUCAUUAAAGAAGAGUGAAAAUAGAAAAAAGAAGUUAAAAGAGACGUUCAGGUUUAUAAAUUCAAGGAAACAAGGGAAUAGCGUACCUGUUUUUGAGGAUUAUAGGUUUUAAACUGGUGUCCUUUUGUUGACAAAGGGAAAGAACUUGAUUGUAAGAAUGAAGUAACUUAACUAAGUCAUUUGCUUUGGACUGUUAGUGAUUAAAAGACUCAGCUUCUAUGAUAUUAAUCUCUAGCAAUACUCUCUGUAUUACUCACUUUUUGAAAGUUGUGAAUUGUACAUCUAUUCCAUGUAUGGUCUAUUGUGUAGGUUAUGUGAUAGCUAACUGAUUCAGAAUUUGAACUUCUUCAUUCAUUAGUAACAAGUACCAAUUGAAUUAGGCAUCAUUAGGCCUAGAAAUUUGUUGACAGCAUCUUCUCUAUCAUGGGUAUAUUUAUCCUCUUUCAAUAGAAAAAAUAUGACCUUUCUAUAAUGAGAAUUUUUUGGUAAAUAUAUUGCUAAGUGCGUUACUGCAUGGAGAAGCUCACACUGACGCUGCUAUAUGUCAUUGAAUUAUUUUCUUUUCUUCUUAAUCUUUUGUGGUCGUGUAUGUGCACAUAGUUAACCUCAAUUUGCAAUCUACCAGAGAGGAUCAAAUGGACAGCUUCUUUGGGCUAUGAGGCGCAAUUUCCGCAUUCCUUUGGAGGAGGAACUAAGGAGGAUGGUGACACCAGAGAAUGUAAGCUCUUAGUUAACAAAUUUUAUCCAUAUUCCUCUUCCUUUAUACAUGUAGGAUACAACAUACGAUCUGCAUGUAUGUAUUUAGCAUGUGAUCAAGAGUGUUUUGUCACAGAUAUUUUCGAGUUUUCGGAUCAAUGGUUUGCCCCAGUUGAGUGUGAUGGGGUGGAUCAUAUGUUUGUUUUGAGCUUUAUAUUUUUAAAUUGAUGGUAUUUUGUCUGAAAACAUCGUGAAGUUCAACCUCCAUUUAAGAGUGGGACAUGUUGAAGUUUGGGAUGUUUUAGCGGUUCUCCUGGAAGGCUAUCCAUCACAUCUGCUGAUGUAUUGACUGAAAAGCUGUAUAAACAUGAUUUUCUAAAAUUUGAUUUAAUUGUAUUUGCCUGAAGCAAUAUAUUGUUUAUUGAGUUUGUUUUUCCUCCUUUACCUGUACUUGUGUUAUUAGAGUCACUCUUGAACACGAGGUAAAUUGAGCUUUGCUAGAUUCCAACAGUUAUCUGCUAGGAUAGAAUUUACAAUUACUUUUGACUGUUAUUUACUUAUUUGUAACAUUCGGAUAGCCAGCUCAACUGAUGUUUGGGGCAUCCUCUUUUGUCUUUUGAAUGCGUGCCUUGAUGCGGUUGGUCUGGAAAUAGGCUUCCAAUAAUUCUGCAAUGACCAGAGUCGAGAAAUUAAGUUUGUAUUUAACUUGUUUUCAGCCAGUCAAGUGUCCAUUUCAUAGAACUUGAGUGGGUAUUGUAGUAAAAAGCAUCUAAGACUAUUGAGAAUUUUGCUACAAUCUGGUUUCCACCUGCUGGUCAUCAGAUUAUAAGAGCAGUUGCUAAUGAACAAUCUCCCUUCUCUCUACUUUAAGGAUGUCCCUGUUCUUCUUUCACUCUAAUUUCAAAGGUAAAUAUUAUAUGGUUUUGUCCAAGCUAGCAUGCUGUGAUUCAACUUAAAACCACUGCAAGACAGAAUGGAUAUAUCCGUCUUCUUUCAUUUCUCCAGAUGGUAACUUCUUGUGGUGCAUGAAAUAGAAAAGCUGGAUGGAAAUGGGUUUUCUUCAUAUGUUGGAGGAAUUCAUUUACCUUCACCAAAAUGACUGCUUGUUGGAAGCAAACCUAAUCAAUUUCAACAAAUGAUAAUAUUAUUGAACAGGGGUGGAUAUAGAAGACCAAAAUAGGGGAAAAUUCUGUUUUCCGCUAAAAGGCUGCAUCAAUUUCUUUUUUUCCUAGUUAACCUUCUACCUUCCUCUUUGUUCCUAAUUCUUUGUCCUUAAACAAUUGCAUCCUUUUCACUUGUCUGAGAAUAGGUUUGUGCCUAUGAAAGCAUGCAAGCUGGCUUGUACAGGCUCAAGCGGUUGGGAAUUACUAGGUUAACUUCACCAACAGGCCUGUCAUCUGCAAUGAAUCAGCUUCCAGAUGAAGCUAUUGCGUUAGCUGCUGCAUCUCAUAUUGAAAGGGAGCUGCAAAUAACACCAUGGAACUUGAGUAGCAACUUUGUUGCCUGCACAAAUCAGGUAAUGAUAUCCAUACGUCAUGUACUUUUUCUAAAGAUGCUAUCUUUUACAAUAUGACGGAUGUACAAGUGACCUUAUAAAUUAUGUAUGGUAUCCAUUGGGAGGAUUCCAGUUCUUGUUGCUAUGAAAUAUGACCCAAAAGUUGUUUUCAAUGACCUUUUUAGGUACUUAAUCUCAGCACUAUGACUUCACUGAAUUUUCCCAUGUCUGCUGUUGAUGCAGGACAGGGAAAAUAUUGAACGUUUGGAAAUUACAGGUGUUGGUGAUCCAUCUGGACGUGGGCUAGGUUUCAGUUUUGUUCGUAAUACUCCUAAGGCACCUGUAUCAAAUACAAUGGUGAAGAAAAAGGCAGUUGUUGGUAAAGGUUCAACAGUAACCGGUACCGAUGCCGAUCUACGCAGAUUGAGCAUGGAAGCUGCACGAGAGGUGUGUUGAUUUUUCACCAAGAAUAAUCUUUGCUGAUAACCAAUGAGUGAACUAACUAUGAAAUGUUCUCAUUAUUUAUGCACCUCAAAUCUACAAGAAAUUAAAAAUUUUCUCAAUUUCUUACUGAUUUGAAAACGAAGUGUGUCUGUGGUGAAUUGGUUGAGCACUGAAAAGAGACAUUUCUAGCUACUUGUACAAGGCUGAAUUUGAUUCUGAUUAGUUUCUUUGAUAUUAAAAACUUAACUUAAUCAACAUUUUCUUGUUUGGUUAGCCAUUUGAUUUGAUCAAAAGUACAUAGAGACAUUGUUAAACUUAAGUUGGACUUUUUCUUGAAAUGUUCAAGGAAACAAACAUGGAAAAGGUGAAAUUUCCUAAUUCUACUUUGUUCAUAUUGUUCUCAUACUAUUGGACUACCAUAAAGAUGUGCUCGUGCCGGGCAUUGCAUGGUAUUUGACUCUUUAUAUUUCUGACAUAAAACCAGCAUACACAUUGAUUAAAAAAAAAAAAACUCAUAAAUGCAAUCCUAGAACCAUAAGUCUUGCAUGUAAUACUGACACAUUGCAUGUUUUUGUCUUCUGUCCCUAAAGAAUGGGUUAUUUAUUUUGAUGUACAUGAGAUGAUGUUGGCAUGCAUAUUGUAGGUUCUCCUCAAAUUCAAUGUACCAGAGGAGCAAAUAGCUAAGCAGACUAGGUGGCAUCGAAUUGCUAUGAUUCGGAAGCUUUCAAGUGAGCAAGCUGCAUCAGGGGUCAAGGUAGAUCCAACAACAAUCAGCAAGUAUGCUCGUGGCCAAAGAAUGUCGUUUAUGCAGCUGCAGCAGCAGACGAGAGAAAAAUGUCAGGAAAUAUGGGAUCGACAAGUUCAAAGUCUUUCUGCUGUUGAGGGUGAAGAAAAUGAAAGUGACUCUGAAGCCAACAGUGACCUAGAUUCCUUUGCUGGGGAUUUGGAAAAUCUUCUGGAUGCAGAAGAGUGUGAAGAUGGUGAAGAUGGUAAUAAUGUUUCCAAGAAUGAUAUCAUUGAUGGGGUUAAGGGGAUUAAGAUGAGAAGGCGACCUUUCCAAGCACAGGCAGAGGAGGAAAUUGAAGAUGAGGCUGCUGAAGCAGCUGAGUUGUGCAGAAUGCUUAUGGAUGGUAUGUAAUAAUCACUUUUACUGUUUCUAGUUAUCAUUCUUCUUGCAGCUCAAUAGCUGCUGGUCAUAUAAAAUACAGAUGUAAGAUUUUAGACAGCUCUUCAGUACGAUUAUUUACUCAAAGUGGUGGUGGGUUUAUAUGGAAUGCCUUGAUGACGAAAUACAUUCAGUACAAUAAGGAUUUAAAUGGUUUCAUCUUGUCGUUGUCCUUUAAUUUCUGAGUCAGUUUUGCAGGGUCCCUCUCUGUGUGUGGUUCUGGAUGUGCGUGAGUGAUGUUUAUACUCUGUAUUGGAUAGAUCAAUGUUUUUGCUUCAUUCUAGGACCUUGAUCAACAGGUUAAUGCAGGGAAGAAUAUGAUGCUUCUGGUUUGUUGGUGGUCUUAUAUUAUUCCUAGAAUUAAUCAACCGAACUAAAAGAAGUUAAUAGAAGAAUAAACCCAGAGAAAUAUUUGUACCUUGUGAGUUGUCCAAUCCCUUGACAAGCAAAUUGUAACAUGAAUUGAUGACUUGUCAAACAGUUGUGAUAUCUGGACAUGUUUCUGUCCUCUGAUAGACACAAAGCAGGAAUCACUUUAGUUGGUCCAAGUUACUCAACAAUUUCAUGUGGUUGUAGUUUUAAGUUGUCUUCUGGAGUUUCUAAAGUAAAAAGAAAAUGUGCAUCAAAUGAGAAGUUACAAGUCUUUUUCACUGAUGUAAAUAUUGAACCACAAACUUUCCCAUUUCUGAUUGAUAAAGUUGAUUCUGCAGAUGAUGAAGCUGAUAGAAAGAAGAAGAAAAAAGUUAAAGUUGGAGGGGACCAAGUUCGGUUGGGUUCAGUCUCGCAAUUGAAGCUUGGUGUUGAGAAUGUUGAGCGAAUACAGAAAACGAACAAUGUUAUCAAGAGAAACAUACAACUAGAUGGACAACCUCUAGCAAAGGAGAAUGCCACUAGAGAUCGUAAAGAGGUUCAGUUUCUUUGUAUUGUUCAUUUAUUUUUUGAAGUUUUUGUGUGUCCUUCCAAUUUGAUCCAAAUGUUUGGCAUUCUUUGGGACAACCAGACAAAUUUGAGGGUCUUCCUACAUACCACAUAUCAUGCACCUACAAGAACUUCCAACUUACCUCUCAUAACUCAUGAAUACUGGCUGUGAAAAUGGCUAUAUGCUUUAAGUAUCCUAGCUACAUAUUUGAUACAAGUCACCAAACUGGUAGCUAGCCUCCCUUGACAUCAGACCUCUGUUUAGUCUAACCGCUUGCGUCCAGAAUCAAAACUUGCUCUAUAGCCUUGUAGCUUCACCAGAAGCCUCCUCCUAUUUUUGGCCUCCAAGACUUCUUGAACUCAUGUCUUAUUGGCUGAAUAUUUUCCUGGAGUCUCUUUUAAGCUAAACACUUGCAAUGAUUUCCACCACAAGUAACAUACUUGUUCUAAUUCAGAGAUACACAGUUAAUGUGGCUUAUGUUAUCGCUUUUCCUUUUCUGGAAAGCAGAAACAUGGGCUGUGGGAAAUAAUGAUGGUGAUUGAAUGCUCUCUUGUUCUUGUUGGCUUUAACCCACCGGGCCUGGCAUUCAUUAGAAUGAGGAGAUAGUCAGUGACAUUGACUGGUGGAGGUUGCAGGAUGCAUGGUGUUCUGUAUGAUGAUGUGUCAGAAAGUUGACAGUAGAGCAGUCAGCUUUCUAGGACAAUUUCCGUGAUUUUGCUUCGUGGCUCAAUUUGUGUAUUCUUUGGUUGCUUAAGCAGACAAACUUUCUUAGGCUUUUAUUGGUCAUAUCAUCAAGAUGAUGUGAUUAAGUUUUACCAUGGAAUGAAUGGAUCUUGAAGUCACACAAAUUAUACUGACAGUAAUUGCAAAUGUGUCCCCAAAUUCAAGUCAAGAAAAUCAGCAAUUUUACUUUUGCCUUGGUUUGGAUGCAGGACGAGAAUAUUUCAGCUAAAAAGAACUUAUCCGGGAAACUUAAAGCAAAGAAGAAGAAUGACAUUGAACAGAUGGAGCUUCUAAAAAAGAAAGUUAAAAUAUUGGGUGAUGGAAUUAAGGUAUCUCUCUUUGUUACUGGAUGUCCCUGUCUUGUUGCUGUGUGAUGGGAACAAUUCUGUGUUUCAUUCAUUUUAUACCAUGCUGGUAGUCAAAUUCCAUUUGAGCUGAUUGUUAUUGAAAUAUACAUACAUAUAUAAGUACUUAUAUGAGUUUCAUUCCCUCCUAACCCCGUGUGCAUAAUAUUACAAAACUAGCAAGCUUGUUUGAGUCUCCAUUGUCUCUAAGAUUUGAGUGACAUGCUACCAACGUAGAAAUUUUUCUGUUUGCCACCAGAUUGUCAAGGAAAAGAAAUCAGCAAGAGAGAGUUUUGUCUGUGGGGCUUGUGGUCAGGUUUGUGCUGAUACAUGAAUCUUGUUACUUUGCUUACAGCUCUGGAUCUUAAGAGAUUUUCCCCCCUUUUUAUUCCAUGUAUCAGCUUGGUCAUAUGAGGACUAAUAAAAAUUGCCCCAAAUAUGGUGAAGAUGUUGAAACACGUGCUGAAAACAACGAGCUGGAGAAGAACUUAGGGAAAGUUGGUAUUCUGGAUCAGGCAGAUCAACCCCAGCAGAAAACUUCUACAAAGAAGCUCAUACAGAAAAGUGCAACCAAAAUUGCUGUGGUUGAAGCCCACGAGGAUGACAAGUCUAGUACAAAGGCAAAAAUUCUGAAGGUCAAAUGUGGCACAACUGACAAACCCCCCGAUAAGCUCACUCCUGCCACAUCACAGAAUUCUGACAAACCUGUAACUUCAGAUGCUGAAACAGUACAUAAAUCUGCUGUCAAAGUAAACAAAAUUAUUUUUUCAAACAAAACUAAACCGGACGAUAUGCUGGUUGAGUCUCAAAAGCCUUCCAUUGUUAUAAGGCCACCAACAGAGUCUGAUAGAGACCAGCCUCGCAAGAAAAUCAUAAUCAAACGGCCAAAGGAGGUUAUAAAUGUGGAUGACGUAAGUCAGGAAGGAAGUAGUGGAAUUGAGUACCGGAAAACAAAAAAAAUUGUUGAAUUGACGAGUGUUGAUAAGCAUAGGGUGCGAGAAAUCAAAUAUUUCACUGACCAAGCAGCAAGCAAGAAGAACAGAGAGGAGAAGAGAUGGUUGGAAGAGGAGGAGAAGAGGAGGUUUGCUAUCAGACAAAAAGAAGAAAGAGCCCGAAGGUAUUUGGAGGAACAGAAAAGGGCAAUGGAAGAGCGGGAUAGAUUUUCCGAGAUAAGACGAUAUGAAGAAACCAUCCGCAGGGAGAGAGAAGAAGAAGAACGUGAAAAGGCAAAAAAGAAGAAGAAAAAGAAGAAAAGACCUGAAAUUAGAGAUGAUUACCUGGAUGAUUUUCCUCCCAGAAGAAAUGACAGGAGGAUACCAGACAGAACAGCAAAGAGGAAACCAGGACCUGAUACCGGAAGAUACAGUGCUGGCUAUGGCCCAGCAACAAAGCGCAGACGAGGGGGAGAGGUAAGUUUUUCCAUGAUGUUAAAUAACCUUUCCUCACAUUGGGGAAUAUUUUGUUUUUUGUAUGAUUACAGAUGUUGAAAUCUGCUUCAUCCAUAGGACUCUCACCCUCACCCCUCCUCCCCCCACCCUGUGAAAACCUGAGCAAUGAUUUGGAGCUUGCUACCAUCAUUCAAUGGAUGUGUGUGUUGAGGUGUUAGUAUGGUUGUUUUUAUUCUGGGGUUAUUUUGUUAGGCUUUAAUUCAUUCCUAAGAGUGCAAUGGUGUAAGCUUGUGCCUAUGAGUUUUGAUUCUUAUAGUAGGAGUAAGGCUAGGGAACUGCGCAAAAGGUCUCGUUACAUGUUUACAGAGUGGUUGGGAUGGGCUGAGAAAUUCCAAGAUCAAGUCUUGUGUAAUUUUACUUUUCUCUGACUUUGGUUGAAGAGCUAAAAGGACUGUUUUGAUUCUUAUAGUAGGAGUAAGGCUAGGGAACUGCGCAAAAGGUCUCGUUACAUGUUUACAGAGUGGUUGGGAUGGGCUGAGAAAUUCCAAGAUCAAGUCUUGUAUAAUUUUACUUUUCUCUGACUUUGGUUGAAGAGCUAAAAGGACUGUUUAUCUUAACUUAAAUUUGUUGGGCAAUUUUCUUUUGAUGUUUCUUGUUUGGCAGGGGAGGGGCGGAAGGAGGUUCUUUGGUGUGGGUAAUUGCUUUGCUUUGAAAACAAUAUUUUGCUAGUCAUCUGACAUUUCUGUCAAAAAAUGUCAUUUUUUGUUUAGAUGCUUGCCAAUCACACAAUCUCAAACAAAUGCACAAGAGUGAUGUGAUCUUGUUGUAGGCUUGUACUCCAUCUUUGUAAUUCUUUAAUUCUACAUUGUUAUUAUUUUGACUGGAUUGGCAUGAUAGCUGUUAAGUUUCCUGGGGAUGCUUUGCAUUAUCUUUAAUCUUGCUUGGACUGGAUUCUAGUAAAGCAGCAAAUCUAUCUGCUCAUGCUGGUGUUUUUCUUUAAUCUUGGUUGAAAAUGUAGAUUUGCAUGUAAAGCUCAUCUUGAUUUUAUUUCAGGUUGGCUUGUCAAACAUCCUGGAAAGCAUUGUGGAGACUCUCAAGGAGAAGCAAGAGAUUUCCUAUCUUUUUUUAAAGCCAGUUUCCAAGAAGGACGCUCCUGACUACCUUGAUAUCAUAAAGCGACCGAUGGAUCUGUCCACAAUCCGUGAAAAGGUGAGGAGGAUGGAGUAUAAAAGAAGCGAAGAAUUUAGGCAUGACAUAUGGCAAAUCACCUUCAAUGCCCAUGCGUACAAUGAUAGACGCAACCCAGGUAUUCCUCCAUUGGCUGAUCAGCUUCUGGAGCUUUGUGACUAUUUAUUAGAUUUGAAUGAUGCUGACUUAAGGGAAGCUGAAGCUGGUAUUGAACAUGGAGAUUGAUAGGUAGGAUUUUUUUUGAUGUGCCUCUUCAUUCCAGUUAAUUUAGAGAAUCCCUUAGUGAGAACCUUUUUAUUUUUAUUUUUUCUCGCUUCUCUCCUUUCUUGGGGUUCCUAGCACCUGGGGGAUGGAAAAACGUCCCCAAUCUGUAGAAUCUGUCUGUAUAUUCUGAGUUUUCUGUGACAUAUACGCCCUGUGACUCUUGUCUAUUUAUACAAGAGAAAAGGAAAUAGAGAAUAUAAUACUUAGAGCUCCUUAUUUUUGUUUUCUCUUGGUGGUUUCUUCUUUGAUUUUUCUCGAUACUUUUCUCGAUGGCAGAUGCUUAUUGCAGUUAUUAUUCUAUGAGAAAAUUGAGCUGUUGUUUAUAGGUCUUCGCUUUUCUAACACCAAAAAAGUCGAUAAUGAAACUUGCAACACCACUGCUGCAUAUUUAUACAUCUCUUCUUUUUUUUUUUUUUUUUCUGUCAAAAAGAAACUGUUCAAAUGUGGCUGCAGUUGUGGUGCAUUGCAGGGAAUGGUUGUGGCUUGGUAGUAAUUAUUGAUAGUCCUUAUUCUUUUAUUUUUUUUCUAUAUUAGUGUUAUCAUGUAUUUGCAAUCUCAGGCUCGCUCUAAAAAAAUAAGUAUGUAAACUCCAGGUCUAAUGCGGUUGAUUUGCCAAAAAAUGAAGAAAACCCACAGCCAGGGCUUCUGGCAGUAAACACAAAAUAGGCACGGGGAAAUGAUUCUUUGCUGCAAUGGAAAAUUCGGAAUAUUCUUAGUACCAGCAUCUUUGAUUAAUCUGGCAAAGCAGACAAUACGCUUUACAUGUAUCAAAUUCCUUAAAACACAAUUGGCACAGAAUCAGAGACAGAAAAUCAAGCGGCCAAUAAGAUUUUAGGCCACUUUCCCUGCCAAUUCAAAUCCAUGAAAUUCCAGAAACAAGGUGCAACAUAAUCAGACAUCCAAAAGGUCGCUAGAUUGCAAUCAAUUCCACCAUUGAUGCACGGCAACCCCUUGAUCUCUCAAGCUUCCGUACAAAGCUAAACACUGCCAAUAGGCCCUCUUGCUUUCAUUUUCGUCUCCCACUCCAUCAUCUUGAAAGUGGUUCUUGCACUCUAAGAACAACUCAUCCACCAAGCAGAUUGUCUUCUCCUCCAUCAUCUCAUCAACAACUUGUGCUUCUGCCUUCAUUACAACGAAGUCUUCUUGCCUCACAUUAUUCUUCAGCCAACCUGAUAUCCCAGCAGCAGGAUUCACCAUGCUUCUUGAUGACAAUUUUUCUGCAGUAAUCUCUAGAUUGUAUGUCUCAAAGUGUUGGUUUUCGGUUGGAUAGUUGUUGUGAAACCAACCUUCAAAACCAUUUUUGUCAUCUGAAAUCAAGAUCCUUCGUCUAUAACUUGCCAGGGAGUGGGAGUCCCCUAACAGAUGAGGAAGGAAUUUGAUUUUCCUCAUUUCAUCUCUCGAGUACUUCAACAAUGUCCUUCUGGGAGGCUCGAGCAAAGCAUCCUCUAAGCCUUUCAAUGCCAUUUUCCUGGCGUCUUGUGCGAUCUUUUGGCUGAAUUAGUGAAGCCAUCUUUACUGCUAAUUUUCCUCAUUGCAACCAUGGUAUUCUCAAACCGUCGCAGAUACACAAUCCUAUAAUUUGAUUGUCGUUGCAUCAAUCUUGAAGGAUCAUUGCUCAACUUUGUGAUCACAAUGCCGCCAUUCUUCAGAACGCGGUCGACGGAAUCAGCAUUCUUGAAGCUGAAGCUGAAAACGAAAUCAAAAGUUUCAUUCGGAAUGGAGUCCUCCAAGCUGGUUUCAGAGGCCACAAUAUUAUCACUGUCACUCACGAAGUCCAAAUCUUUCAUCAAAUCAUCAAGGCUAGAACCCACGAUGAGGCCUUUCUGACCCCUCUUGAUCAGGCCUUCGUCGGCCAAAUCACGAAAAAGAACAGGCAAUAUUUUGAAAUUAGCCAGAUCAGAGUUCACCUUAGAAGCAUUGGAAGAGCUUCUUAAAACAGAGCCAAUUGAAGGCAAUGUGAGCAAAAUGAUUGCCAAAAACAACGACCUGGAUACAAUCUGCAAAACCUGCGAAUCAGGCAGCUUAAUUACCAAAAGGGUAUGGGAAUUCAAUCCCGUCCCACCACCAUUCGGCUCCUUCGCCUUGAUGCCGGCGCUGGUUCUAUACCCUUGAGCCAAUUCCAUGUUUUCACAACAAAAAAGAACGAUUUUUGAUCUUCGUGCAACUUUUUUCAACUACUAAUCCUCCAAUGCACCUUCACCAAAAAAGCUGUGAGCAAAGAUGCAGACUUUUGAGCAAUAAUAAAGCCCAAAAUCAAGAAAUCUUAAUUAUAAUUGAUAAUCAGGAAAAAAAUCAAAGCCAAGGGGGAUGGAAAGAGGGAUUUAGCGGGUGCAAAAUCUGGCAGCGGUGUGGUUUCCACCCACAAGGGCCACACGGGUGCUUCGAGCUCUACACCAAAGAAGCAGCAACUCCCUGAUUCUUGCAAUCUCCAUACCUUUUUUCAUUUACCUCUCUCUCUGUGUCUCUCUCGCUGAUAUUCUGCUGUCCCCUCUCUCUGAAUAUUUAAAAUGGGCAAUACAAACGUUGUUUUCUACAUCUUAUGAUUUUGUAACCGACGACAACCUAUAAACUCAACCACCACCAUGCCCAGAGAGAGAGAGAGAGAGGGGAAAGGGACAAAAUCAGAGAAAAGGGCAGCGAGAAAUGGAGGAGGAGAUGAUAGACGAAAUGCGUAAUUUCCAAUCCGGAGUUUAAGCAUUAAAUACAGUGAUGCGAACAUCUCUGUGUUUGUUCACAUGCGUGUAGGGACCGUGGGGAAGUAGUGGGUUGUGGUCUUUGUUUUGGUCGAUAAUUAUGGGAAUAUAAAUUAAGAGGCUUCUCAGCCGGGAAUUUUAUAGUUUAAAAACCAGCAAUUUCUACCCAAAUAAGAAAUGAAUUACAAAGAAUUCCUUGUGGAAUUUGUUUGGUUUAAAUGGUGGAAAUCGAAUUACGUUCGUUUUAUAAUUAUUAUUGUGUGGCGGCAUGAAUUAACUUCGCAUCAUAAUAGUAAAUGACUUCCCAAUCCUAUUACGGUAGAAGUCUUCGACGGACGGACCAUCUCCUCAUUCACUUGAAAGAAAACUACUGUUCUGUAACAAAUUCGUACGAGAGGAGCAACCUACGCUACCCUACUUGAUGAUGAUAUGAUAUCAUCAUUUCACUUCCCAGCAACUCUCCUGAGUCCGAACUCCGAAGUUGAGUUGAUUUCCUUUUUCACCUACUAGCAGCAGCAUUUGGUGUCACGUCAAAGUAUUGAAUCCAUCAUGUGUCAAUUUCGCACUUCUUUACUGGAAUUCAAACAUAUAUUAUAUUCAAGUAUUAUCCUUUACACAUUUUGCAACUUUUUGUUUUAGCACUAUUCUAUUCAACGUGAAGUUAAGCUAAAUAUCCCUUUGAUUGUUUCAGUUUCUUCACGCACACGCAUAUAUAAUAUACCCCUAUUUGGCAAACAGGAUUUUUGCCAAAUUUUUUUUUCACUUGUUUUUUAAUAACUUUAAUUACAAUAGCAUCUUUAAAUUUUUUUUUUUUUUUUUUUUUUUUUUACAAAUUCUACCAUAAGUAAAUUACAGUAGUAUAUUUUCAAAAAAAAAAAAUCUAAAAAAACUCGUCUACCAACCAAAAGAAGAAGGUACUGUAAGGGCAAUGCACACACACUGAUGGAGUAGACAGUAGAGGUGGCCUUUCCAAAUCUCUAUGGGAGAAAAUGUAGUGCAACUGCACCCGAAAUUGUACUGUACAAUUGACUCCUCUCCAUGCCAUUUUUUUUCAACACUAGGAGGCAUGAACCGCGCCCUGCGCGGUGAUAAUUUAUUAUGGAUGCCCAUAAAACAUAUGUAGCAGGUAUAUAAUUUUGAAAAUAAAAAGGACAUUGACUUUAUUAGAUGUAAUAAGUUGGAAUAACAAAAGUAACAGCUAGGACAGAAGGAAUGUUUGUUGCUUAAAACUCCAAAGGCUAAAGAACUAUACAAAGAUCUAGGCUUUAGAAACGCAGAAACAAAACAAAGUUUAGUAAUUGUCCAGUGAAUGAAUCGUCUAAGUAACAAACAUGUGGUCUAUAGUCUACAUAUCACUAUUCCAAAUACUACUGCUGCCUAAGAACUCAGCCCAAGAAGAAAGGCUCUGAGCUGGCAGCAUAACAAAGCAUCCCAAAGAAAAUUUUUUAAAAAGAACAGAACCACUAAAUGCUAUUAGUAUCAAUAGCAUAUAAGCCUCAAAACUAAUACCGACGCCACUACAAGCUCAAAGAAGUUCACGAGCUGACAAGAUAGCACAAGAAAUAAGCAUCCAAAAACAACCUCUCUAAACUGGGUAGCAAGCAACAACAGCGUAUUUAGUGCAUGUCACUUUGUUGAUCACAUCGGAUGAACGCUUAAAAUAGCAUAGGAGCCUGGUCAGUUCAAUUCGACAAGCCACACGAUGGUACAACUUAAAGGUCUGCAAAAAGGUUGAAUCGAAAUAAAGUGGCAAUUCAAGAAUCCAUGUACACAAAUCAGACCAUUUAAAUUGCAUAAAAGAAAGUUCAUUAAUGACAAAUCCAAAUGACCUGGCUACAUAGUUGAACAAUCUCCAAGUUCAGGUAUCUAUGCAUGAGAAUAGAGCAACACAUAACCUCAUCGUCAGCAGCCUCAAACAUGUCAAGCGCGCUAACACCAAUCAGCUUCUUAGCUUCGACACCUAAUGCAAUAACAUUUACACACCCAGUAUCAUCAUGAAAAGUGAGCCAGAUCCAUGCUCUAUAACAAAAAUAACAUUAACCACCAAAAAAAAGGAAACCAAGGAAUACAUAGAGUUUUUAAAAACUAAUAACUAAUAACAAAUCCACGAUGCACCUAGGGAAAUCAUACAUUCCCUGACCUCAACCAAGGUAUACAAAUAGUCUUAUAUGUUGACAAGACACCCUCAAUUGAUUUUAGUUUUCUCACGUGGCACGAUACCGUUGGGGUAAAAGAUUGGAGGCACAAACAAAAGUGACACGAAAAAUCAACAUAAUUUCUUUUCACAAAAAAUCAAGAUGCAGAGGGGAAUGCAAUAUUGGCCAUACAUCUUUAACAAGAGCUCUGUGUUAUUAUAGCAAUCAAACUUCCAGAUAAGAGUUUUGGAGCCACGAAAACAGGCAAUUUCGCAUUUCAGACACAUGCAAACAUUUAAUUCUUGUUUAUCAAUGAAGGAACAUUAUUACAGUUGCAAUGUACAUUUUUUGUGUGCUAAAAUGUCUAGAAUUAAAAAGUUUCAUCCUCCAUUUGCAAAGCCUUCUAUUGCAUGAUACAGUUCCUGCCAAAAUCCAGAUGCAGCAGUGAUUUGAUACUACAAACAACUUAACUAAGAGAAACAGCUCCUUAGCAGUAUCAAGAACAACUGAACAUUUAGUAUUCAUGCCAGACUGCAGAUUUACCAAAAUGAUCUCAUAGCAUUAUACCUAAUCAAUAUUGAACAAGCUAAACGUUUAAAAAAGUUUCCUCGUCUAAUGUAGCUCAGGACAUAGAAAACAAUGCAUGCAAUAAAUCUUAUAGAAUAAUCAGUGGGUAGAAGCAACCUUUUUUGUAGACAAAUCCUUUUUUUUUUUUUGCACUGGCUUCUUCACAGUCGACCCAAACACUUCAUACUUAAUAAAAAGGAAAAUGUUUAACAAUCAAAAGCUGUCCCAUUCCAUUUCCAGUAGCAAAAAAAAUAAAAAUAAUUGUCUAGUUUAUGGAGUAAAUCUUGCACCCGAGUACGUGAACUAUUAACCCAAUACAGGAAAGGUCAACUGCACAUUAAUUAAAGUACUGCAAUUCAAAUAGAACUAACAUGAAACGGGGAUACCUCUAAUCAAAUGCAUAGGGAUCAUCUGCAUAAGGAUUCAGAGAUCCUUCUGAAAACAGAUCACCUAUAUUAGAUGAAUUUGUAUGAACUUGUCCCUUUGUUCCCUAUCAUGAAAUUCCAAUCACAAAUGUCAGCACACAUAACAUAAAAUUAUAUGUGACCGUAAUCACAAGGCAUCUUGCAGUGUACAGAGACAAACUUCAUCACAUACAGUUAAAUUUCUCCUUGUUUCUACUUUACCUUGCUCAGGUUAACCAAUUGCUCUGUUUCAUUGCAUUAAUCUAUUAGUAAUCACAACUUAAUCCUAAAUGAUAUGAAUAAGAGUAACACCAUUUCAAGGUAAGAGAAUUUUGUGACCACGAUUAUUGUCUGUCUAGUACACCCCAUUCAUCAAAAAUAGGCAAAAAUCCUACUUCUUGUUGGGUGAGACAUGACUGACACUCCACAAAAGAUCAAAAGCUAAAACAACCAGCAUGAUGACACUGAGAAGGAAAAUUUAUCCUAGUUCAUUGUUUAAUUACCUUAGUAACAGCUCUAGGUGUAACAACUUUUGGUGUCUCUAGUUUUUUAUGUCUGCCUGGGUCCUGUAGUAAUAGAGACAAUUACACAUAACCAAGAAAUAUACACAUAAAGAAUCGUUCCCCUACGACAAUGCAUACUGAUCAGAAAUCAAAAUUACAUACCGCAAACAUUACAGUACUUUUGGUUUUCCUUUUUUUGUAAUUGUUCUUCCAUUUGCUGUUUCGACUUCAUAUUCAUGAUGAGUGACAUGCUUAAGCAAGGAAAGGAGGUUAGACAAACGGGCACAAAGAGUUGGGCUGAAUUUUCUACGAACACAGAGAGCUUAUCAAUGAUAUUCAGAAGCAUGAACUUAAUUUUCCAUGUCUUUCUUGAGAUAUAGAUUAAAUUGACAAAAAAAGAAAAAAAGGGAGAGCGAGGCAUAGGAAAACUGAUACGGGUCAUGGAUUUCUCUUUCAUUGUAAAAAUAUAGACUGGCAGGCUUUCCUUUUUUUUUUAUUAGUGCUCACUUGGUCGGGUUGGUUAUAAGAAUCGGAUCUUUUCUUGGUCAGCAAGGGUGAGUUUGUCGGAAGCGUUGGAAAGGGAGGCAUCGAGGGACUGAAGCUGGGACUGAAGGUCGGCGAUGAUGGCGUCAAAACAUACGAAUUCCAGGCAAAAAAAAAAAAAGAAGAAAGAAGGAAACUUGUAGCAAGGACUGAAGCUGACUGGACAGAUUACAACGAAGGAAGAGGAAGAGAUCCAAACGAAUGGAAGAAGAUCCGGACAGCUGCAACCAACAGCGAAGAUGGCAUCUCCUUGGGCGGAAAGAAGACAGUGACCGAGCAAAAAAACAGAAAGCUGCACGUCACCGGACAAGGGAAAAAAAUAGGAAUGCCAGGGAAAAAAAAUGAACAGAGGAAACUUGAAGAGAGGAUCGGACCUCACUGGAAAGGAAAAUAAAAGACAAAGAAGAGAGCUUACAACAAAAGAGGAGGAGAGGCCAACGAACGGCACAAGAUCUGUACCGAUGCAGCCGACAGCGAAGGUGGCAGCUCCUUGGCCGGUAAGAAGGCUAUGGGCUUGGGAGAACCGAAUACCAGAGCUCAACAAAAUGUUGCAGCAGGCUCCAGAGCAUGCGGGUAAGUGGCAGAGCAACAUUGUGGGGAGAAGUAAAUGCAGUUGGAGAGAGAAGGGAGCGGGAAGAAAGCAAAUGCAGCAGACGCAUAGAAAGAAGGACGGACGGUCACAUGGGACACUGGCUGGCGAAACCAGAUGGGAAGCUGACGCGCGAUGCGCGAACAACAUGAUACUUCCAAUCCACAUGCCGGGCACGUGAGAGGACGACGAAAGUUUUGGCUGAAUGCUGGUGGGACGUUAUCUACUUAUGUUGAUAAGUAGAUAAAGAGCCGAAGGGCUGUGAUGACCUGGAAGUUUUCGUCGUCCUCUCACGUGCCGCGCAUGUGAUUGAGAGCGUUGUUUUUCUUCGCGCAUCGCGCGGCUCUUCUCCUCUGCUGGUACUCCAUGUGCCUCCUGCUGCGCAUUAAAAGCUUCUUUCUCUAUCUGGUGCUAAUACGUGAUUUUUCUUGCCGCUGCGUUUUCUGUCUGCUUCUUUUGGACAGUGCUUCUCUCUUGCUUAUCCGCCUGCUCUGCGUCCUGGUGCACGAGCCUGCUAAAAUAUCCGGUUCUCUUCAUUCCUUGUUGUUUAGGUUUCGGUGUUCCCAGGUUCGUCGUCACCCACCACUGGUACGGUCCCCGCUCGUUGGCUAGCUUAACUGACCUAGAGCUGUGGCCUUGGGGUCUUUCUUCCUUUCCGGUUAGAUGCAUACUUUGCUGUAACCUUUCUGCUUGAUCCUUCGCCUGAAACUGAUGUUUUUUCCUGUUUUCUUUGUUUCCUUUCUCGAGCCGCCAAAGGCCUGUCAAACCUCUGUCCUUCGCGUUCUCAGGGUUUCGGUUGUCUAGAUCAACCGCCGUUGGCUAAGCUACGUCUCCUCUCCGUCUCCGUCUUCAGGGCAUUCACUCAGGUCAGAAAUGAAAUGGAAUUGGGCAUCUCCCUCUCCGACACCCAGUAUCACAAGUGCCUCAUCUCCCGGAGGUUCUUCAGACCGAGAAUAACCUCGCAACCGGAGGUAUAUUUUCUUCAACUUUCUUCCUUCUCUCAAUAUCUCAAUCUCUCUCUCUCUCUCUCGCUCUUUUUUCUUUUGUUUCAAUUAAUCUGAAUUUCUAUCUACAUUCAACGGAGUAAUAGUGUAUCGUCCUUAAUUGGUGCACAACAUUAGGAAAUCUUGUUCUCUUUUGUUGUUUCCCCUCUUUAAUAAUCGAACCACUUCAAGAAAAAAACCGACCUUGGGAAUUAUUUUGCCCUAAUACCCAUUGUGGGUUUCGUAAAUUUUGGUAAUUUAUUAUAUUUAGCUAUAAGAGAAUUGGGGGUUUUGGUAUAAUUUGUGUAAAAUUCCACAAUUUUUCGGCUAGCAGUUUGGGCUUUAGAAUUGCUGGUUUUGUCUGAAUUUUUUAUCUCUUCUAUAUUUAAUGGAUAUCUGAGGAUCAUUUAGUAUCUGAAACUAAUAAAUCUGCCAACGCUUACAGUCAUGAGUGUAGAGUUAACUAAAUAUGUUAACCUCUUUAUGAAUAACUUUUUAAGGACUUUUAUGCUAAUUCUUCGCAUUCAAAAAGGAGAGAAAUGGAAGAAACAUUAAUUUUCUGGUAUUAGAGACACCUGCGGGAAAGAAGAUGGUAGCAAGUUACUGACCCCAGGUAGUAUGAGAUGAGAUUGUAUUGUAAUUGAGCAGGGUUCACUUAUCAUAAUAGAUUGAAUUUUGUAGUUCUGAACUGAUACAUUGUUCUUUUGAUUGACUGAGUGGCAAUUUGGGAGCCAUGCAGUUUGUUUUUCUUGUUUUUAUUUUCUUAUAAUCCAAACUUGAAAAGGAUUUGUUUUUUCUCUUCCGAGUGAUUGUUUGGUUUUCCAAAGAUUUAAAUUUUCCAGAGAUUGAUUGUUUGGUUUUCCGAAGGUCAAUCUCUUUAACCCAAGAAAAUAAUAAUAUUAAACUGAAAAACAACAAAAAUGUUGUCUUGGGAAACUAUUGUUUAUUUACAUGUCUUGGAAGUUGAAAUUGCCAGAAACAAGAAGCUCACUUUCUCUGAUGGUCAUAUUUCUUCAUCAGGUUGACCAUUGCCAAAUAGAAGAGCUUAGCCACAAGACAUCUCAUAGCAAUAGCACGUCUUAUUGUUGAAAAUUUUGAUUUUAUGGUAGUGUUUGUAGGUUGAGUUAUGACCCAUGAUUUAUGCUCAGGCCCUUAAAAUGGAGAUAUAUAGUGAAGAAAAGUAUAAAAGAUCGGGGUGGCUUCAACAUUUACCUUCAACUAAUUUUCCUUGUGUUUUUCCUUUUUGAAUUCAGCUUUGUGGAAAUUAUGGCUCCUGUUUUCUCGCGGGAUGCUUGGCGAUGUGUUUGGCAUACGAUUCAGGUUCCCUUCUCUAACUUUGUCUUUUGUAUACGUAUGUUUUAAGCCUUGUUGUACCUCCAACUAUUUUUGCUUUUAGCUGCUCUCAUUAGCCUUGGUUCUUUCCAGCUUAGAGCUCACACUGAUUUUUUACUUUCAAUAACAUUCCUAGAAUGAUUUGGUGCAUGGUUGGGGAUUGGAUUUUGCGCUAAGGAGAUGUGUGGAGGUCAGUGGUUUUAUUUGUUUCUUAUCACAAUAUUAUUUGAAAGAUUUAGAAAAGAAGGCUUGUCUACCUGCUUUUCAUAUUCCUGUUGGAAGGAGAGAUCUGCGGGCAGUGGCAUGUAAAACAGAUAAAAUUAGAAAACAUGUAUUUAUUUCAAAUGGAUGUCUGCGUAUUAUCAGUUUCAUUGUAAGUGUAUUUUGCCUGUGUAGCCUGCACAUGAGAAAAUUGAUGUGGUUGACUCUCAGUGGAUAGUUCAUCAAGUUAUUCCUUCUCUGGGAAGUCAGGUCAGUUAACUACUUUAUUACAACCAUCGGGACUUGCUUUUCCUUUUCCUAGAGGUGAUUAAAAUAAUGAAGUUUAGUUGUUUGCAAAUGUUGUUCUGUUCAACUUUAAUUUCCAUUUUUGAGCAAAUGGUUCUUCAUUUAUAAUAUAAGCAACUUUUUAGCAGCAACCCCCUUAUUUACAUUUUUUUCUUCCACGUCAAUUAUCCUACUUGUCCCUUGAUCUGGUUUCCCCUCAUUUAGAUUUGUUUUGUUGAUAAUGAUGCUAACAGCUUCAGCUUCGUUGAUUCUAGGGUCAAUCUGAAAAUGGAAAAGCUCCUUGGCAAGGGGUAUGUAAGCUGUUACUUGUUCGGUUUCCAUUUCAACCUUUCUGUAUAUUUUUUUACUGAGGCCUUUUCUUUGUCCUUCAUUUUUUUUGCAAAAGUCAACUCUGAAAGCUUCUUCAUCCAAUUUUAUGGUAAUCUGAGUUAUUCUAUAUCACCUACAUUCUAACAAUCAUGUUUAAAUUAGGAUUCAUAGGUCUUAUAUCUGCACUCUGUUUGAAUUGCAUGAUUUUGCAUUGAACUGAAUUUCAUUAGAUUUGUCCAAACGUCAAGUAACUAGCUUGAAUUCUUUUCUAUCUAAUUUGGUAGGUAAGAGAGAGAUGCAGAAGUGAGUGGGCGCAGUUUCAAGAUCGCCUAGCCAAUGCAGAUAAGAAAUAUAUUGAACAGCUUGGGAGUACUUACCUACUUUCUGUUUAAUAUUCCACUAUUAAGUUGCGAAUUUGGAGACAGAAUUUCUGUUAUAUGCCAAAUUUCUAAUAUUCUGGGUAUCUCUUUUGCAGGAACGAGGUAUUUGAACAACAGAAAGUUUUGUAUCCUUUUAAGUUUUCUUGCAUUUGGGUAUUGAUACUAUUCACCUUUAUUGCUCUGACUCCUACUUCUUUGCACAAGUUCCCUUUGACCUGCAAUGCUUCUUUACUUUUUUUUCUCUUAACUUCUUGUAGCUCUGAUUGGAAAAGAAAUAUAGAGACAUUGGAGAAAAAUAGUGUAACCAGUCUGAGGACAUUGAUCAAUCUUGGUUCUGAAGUGUACAUGCAAGCUGAUGUGUAUGUCUCUUCAUACCAUAUCAAUGUCAUUUUACUUGGUUGUUCAUAGGAUUAGUAUACAUUUGAAGCGUUUAUCAAGAUAUGAAAGAAUUCAUUUCUCUUUUGUUUGAGGUGUGUGUGAUUUAUUAUAACUCUAUAUGUUUGUGUCUGCCUAUGCACUGAAAAAAAAAAAGAAAGUAUAUGGUACCUUAGUUGUUCCAAGUAUGUCUUCAGCUAUGGUGAACAAAGUGUUGUAGGUUCUUUGGGCUACGAGCUUGGGUUUUGGUAGUCUCAGUACCAGAUGGAAUCAUGUCAGAUUGAUAUAGGGUGCAAGAGAAGUGUUCUUUACUUGAUGUGAUGGUGCUUACUGUAAACAAAUAUGAGAGAUAAUUGCAGAAACAAGGCAAAAACAAUCAAUUAUGGGGACAGUUCAAAACUUUAACAGCUUACGAAUAAGCGAUCGAACCUGAAUUUAUCUUUCCUGAUUUCCAAUUUUCAACUCUAGAUAUUCCCCAGGCAAUCACGACCUUCAAGCUUCUCUUCAUAACUAUGCGUCUUUAGGAAACAUCUGUUUUUUUGAACUUGAUAAGUGGAGCCGAUCCAUGUAUUCUUAAGGUAGCUAUGUCAAUGAUUGAGUUGGAAUAGAACAAACAAAAGAGAAUGAUUUAUAAUGUCAAUGUAUCCAUGAAUGAUUUAUAAGCCUAUGUGCUUGAUUUAUCAACUCUAGAUAUAUUGAGUGAUUGAGUUGGAUCUAUUACAAUUAUCUAUUGAUUGAAUACCUUGACCUUUUUGCCAAAAUCUGUCUCAAAACUGAUUUUGAUUUGUAGCUAUGGUACAUUUGCUACUUGAGGUUGUGAUGGUUAUGUUGAUGUGUGGGAUGGAAACAAUAAAAAAAAGGCUGUAUCAGUUAUUUUUCCUUAACUGAAUUUGAAAUGGCUUCCGCUCCAUGACGACAUUUGUCAGUUUUUUAUCAUACUUGUUAUAUUUGUCAAAACAAGGGUUCUUUUUUUUUUUUUGUUUUUUGCCUUUGAAUUUGAGAUUAUGAUUUCUUCGUUAUACUAACUUAUUCUAUUGUUCGUGGAAAUUUAUUAUUUUGGCUCAUUUUUCUGAAAGUGAUCAAUUGGAAUGCUAAAGCAAGAUGAAUUGUAUUAGAGAUUUCUUUUUGUUUCAGACUUUGACAAAUGCUGUUUUAUAUCCUGUAAAUGAUGUUCUUCUGUGUUUGGUUCUUUCUGCGAGAUGUUACUUUUGCUUCGGUGCAUUGUGUAUAAAGGCAUCUUCAUAAGUUACUUGUGUGAGUGCUGUUUUGAAUGAUUACACUUAUUCUUCUUGAAUGAUUUUGAAUGCUUUUGACUGAAUAAAUAGUGUAUGCAGACUAGGAAUUCAUUGGUUAUUUAUGCCUAUGCAUUUUAUGAUUAUGCUUCUGAUUUUUUGCUGCAGAAUGCUGAACUGACUGCUCAUGUGGCUAAGCAGUAAAGAGGAAGGAAUCUGCUGUCCUAUGUUAGGCAUUGUCGUUUGAUUAUGAGUGCAGUUUCAUUGGAUGUUUUUUAGUUAAUGUGUAUUAUGUAGUUAUAGUUGUUAGAGGACUCAAGCACAGAAAUUCUGUAAUAGCUAGGUUGUUGCCAUUUCAGUUUGUUGCCAUUCUGUAACAGCUAGGUAUGUAUUGAUCAUAUAAUUUCUGAAGCAUUCUUGAUGGGAGAGAAAGACUUUGGGGUAAAGAAUCAAGAAAUCAUAUAGAGAACAAAGUUGAAAUUAAUGUAAGACGAGACCAUACAGCUUUCCUAAGAUUGAUUCUUUAUUUGGUUCAUUAUUUCUGAAAUAAGUUCAAUUCUUUGGCCACCUUUUUUUUGCACAUUACUUUUUCAUUUUUUUGUGUUCAUCCUAGAUUAGAUUAAUAGUUUAAAUAUACUUUCGACAGUAAUUAAUUUAUAAUCAGUUCCACAAUUUAGGUCUUGGUUUUCUUUUUAUGACGUUUGUAUAAUAACCUAUAAAAAUGUUGGGUAUAUCAUAAUUGUUAGUGUCUAAAACAAAAUGACUUCUUAUACACGCAACAAUUAAUGUCAUUCUUAUAUACAAAACAAGUAAUGUCAUUUUUAGUGUGAAGUGUCUUAUUGAAUUUCACUUUUGUGUAUUUCAAGCAUCUCUGGCCUCCAAAGACGAAAAUUCGCUGAGAAGAUGAGCAACAACCAUGAUGAAAGGAUUAUUUUACUACCAUUACUUCCUUACAAGGACUAAGGACAAUUCAUGAGGUCCUAGAAUCCGGUAUUUAUUACUACCACUAUAUAUAUAUUUUUUGCUUAGACGGUAUUUAUUAUGGCUGAUAUGGUUUCUUUUGUUACUUUAUAAACAGAUCAUGAAAUCUCAGAAUCAGUUCUCCAUCGUAUUGUCUCAUCUAUGAAUCCAUUCCUAAAACAUGACUGGACUACAUUCAAUUGCUUCUAUCAAUUUUAUCUAUCAAAGCUGGUAUAGUUUUGCAUUCUCUAACCUUAUUAACUCUCUUUCUUUUGUACAUAUGUGUAUUUACUUAUCACAAUUUUUUUUCAUACAUUUAUAGGAUCUGCCAGAAUUUGCGAAUCUAAGGCUAAAUGAAGAUAGUACGCUGACUAUAACUCUUAUGAAUGGUCAUAAAUAUUAUCAUGUUGGUAUGACCGAUAGAUGUUUUGAUCAAAACUGAAACCGUUUUUUUAUUGAUCAUGAUCUAAACAAUGGCCAGAUAUUGCUUUUUAUUCCACAAUCCAAGACUCCCUUUGCUGUGCUGGUGUUUGACCGCAAAGGAAUAGAGAAGUUGUUUCCAUGGCAGUUUGCAUUUUCCAUUUGAUGGCACAUCUGAUUUACGCUGAUUCUGCUUCAACGCAAUGCACGGCAUUUGUUGUAUUUAUGUUCUUAAUGGAAAAAAGUUCUGGUUAGAAAAAUGCUUCCAAAGCACUGCAAAUUUAAUGUUUAGCAAGUUCCUACUGUUGUUUAACGAUUGAAGCUUUCAUAAUGGAUGUUCCAACGGCAUUACUUAUUAAACUUUGAUGUUUAGCAAUAAAGUUGAUCCUACCUUUGGUUACAAAAAACAAAUGGCUGGUAUAUAUUAAAUUUAGAAAAAUGCUCCAUUAAAUUUGCAUUAACAAAACUUCAGAGUUUGGAAGUUCCUAUUAAAAAUUUAGAAAUUUAAAUUUGCAUUUCAGACUUUGGAAGUUUAGCAAAGUUUAGCAAAUUUAGAAAUUCAGGCUUUGGAAGUUCCAAAGCACUUCCAUUAAAUUUAGAAAUUUAGCAACUUCCAUGAAAGUUCGUAGCCAAGAAAUAUCAACAAACCUUCAGACUCAUGGUAUAUAUAUACUAAAAAAUGUACAUUUCUAAAUAAAAUGUUAUUUUUAUUACUUCAGAAAUGGAAUGGGCAUUUUACAUUACUAUCGCGCGAAGCGCGUUAUUGCCUCCUAGUUCACAAAGAAUUGGACAAAAUUGAAAGUGUGCCAUAUAAAAAUAUGGGAUAAUUUCACAAACCUCCCCUGAGGUUUCUGACGCUUGCACUGAGACCCCUCCAGGUUUUAAAUAUUUCAGCUAGCUCCCCUGGCAGAGUAUUGGGGUCCAUUGCUGACAUGAAUAGUGCUGAAAUUACCAAAUUAUCCUUAGAGGUUGGUUAGAUGACUAACGGUAACUUGGAUGACAAAUGCAUCUUGACAUUGGUAAUUACAUCUUCAAAUGUCCAGCCAUCUUUAGUCUGGCAUUCGGAUCAAAGUUGUUGUGUCGUCCUUUAUUUUAUGAUUUUUAUCCAAUCCAAAUCUCUCACCCAGCAGCACAAAGCAAAAUUUGAUGGGUUGAGUCGUGCAAAGCUUUGAUGAUUGACUUUGAUUUUUCUUUUUUCAGCUAAUUUAUUUGCAUCAUUGAAGCAGGGGAUUUUUAUUAACGCUACCAAGUUGGCACUACAUUCUUGACCCAAUAUAUAAGGUCAGAAGCAAAGCCGAAUUUGAUAGAUAAAUACUAUUUUGGAAGAAUUACAAUUUUGGCUCCGAAUAUUUGGAACGUGAACGCUUUUAGUUACUAAAUUUUGGAUGAAAAUAAAUAUAGUUCCAAAUAUUUUAGUUUCAUGCAUAUUUAGUUCUAAUAAACUGAUUUUUAUCGAAUGCUACUGUCAAAAUCGAGUCAUGUGCCAGCAAUUAAUUAUUUUUAAAAAUUUAAAAAAAAAUACUUCUAGCCAGUAACUAUAAUAAAUUAUGACUAAUUUCUCAUAUGAUGGUCAUGUGAAUAAUUUUUAAGUUUUUACUACAAAUUUUGGCCAGCAAUUUUUUUUCAAGUUUUUUAAUUCCUUUUAAAAUAAAAAUUAUUUGUUGAUACUUUAUAGCACGUCACCGUCACCGAAUCCUUGUAGCAAUCCGUAAGAGUCAUUGCACAAAUUCACAAUGAGGAUUGUAGCAAUCCGUAAGAGCUGUUGCACAAAUUCACCGUAAGAGUCCUUGUAGCAAUCCUUUAGAGUCAUUGCACAAAUUAUUUGUCGAUGGUGGAUCAAGGGGCCAUGCAUAAGAUCUGAUAAAUGUUUUCACUAUAGCCUUCUGUUAAUGCUCCUGCAAAACAAUGAGGAUAUACUCUUCCUCCUCACAAUCUUUUGGCUUGAGGAUAUACUUUGCACUUCUGAUGUUUAUAUGCAGUUGGAGGUAUACAAAAUCUGGCCAUUAGAAGAUUGCAAGUUGCCGUUGGCUCUUCCUGUUAACAUACUGAAGAUGUCUCCAUGUACUGCAUCAAAAUUUCUGAAUUGCAUUUAUAUCCUCUCAACUUUGAUAAUCAUCUCAAUCUUUUUAAUAACUUGCAAUCUUGUACUAAUAUAAAGAGGAAGAGGGUAUUCAUGGAAUAAAAAUGUCAUCUCUAUCAUGAUAGUAAUAUUUUAAUCCUAAUUGGACUGAAUUGUUACCAAAAUUUGAAAAGCAAGGGAGCUAGGUGAAAUUUUUAAAACCUAGAGGGGUCUCAGUGUAAGUGUCAGAAAUCUCAGGGGAGGUUUGUGAAAUUAUCCCUAAAAAUAUUGUCAAAUGAAUGCUCCAAAUCAACCCAAUCGCUUGCGGCAAAUCCAGACCAUGAACUGUUGUCUUGCCAGGUGUGAAUGUAGCAGUAGACCCCACCUCUCAUUUCUUCCCGCGCGACUGGUGCCACCGCUGUCAAUUUUUUUUUUCUCUGAGACGCGAUAAUUAUAGAGUGUAUCCUAAUCUAUUCUAAAUUAGGUAGAGGGAUGGACCUGAAGAGAUAAGAAGCAAUCAAAGGAAAUUAAACCAUCACCAAAUCAAAUUGAUAUAUUGUAUGAAUUUUUUGAAACAAAUUUAUAUUAACCUCCUAUCCCAUCAACAGUUAAAGGCUUGAUGGUGGCCACCAAUGCUGCCAUCAUUUGUCUUGUUAUUGGGGCCUAUACAUACGGAAUAUAGGGAUAUUUUCCAAAAUCUCCUCUAAGAUUUUGUUUAAUAUUACUUGAUUCUAAAAUCAUAUCUUUAUAACAAACUCAUCCCUACACCAUGAAAAUAUUCUUAAAAUAAUUAUUUAAAAAGAGAGAUACAGAGUGAGAUUUAUUUUUGUUCCAAUUUUAUCCCUUUAUGUUGUCUUAUCUUGAAAUUUUAACCAAAUUAAUUUCUAACAUAUAUUUGCAUGGGAGAACUAAACAAGAUUAGAAUAGAGUGUUAAGUGCUACAAUAAAUGAUAGAAUAGUAUUUUCUUUCUAUUUUUGGCUUUUUCUUUUUUUUCCCUUAUAUAAUUGUUAGAAUAACCAAAGAAACUUUAAUUAAAAACUAGCAUGUGAAAACUAAAAAUGUGGCAAGAAGAGAUGUUUGCAUACAACAAUUAUUAGAUUACACUUUUUUUUUAUAAAUUUAGAUUUAUUAUCUUCCUUUUUUUGCAUAUAUGAUGGUUAGCAUAAUUAGGAUAAUUUGAUAUAAGGUUGACAUAGAAAGACCAAAAGUCAAGGGAGGGGGUAUGUUUAGGGAAAAAUAAUAAUUAGAAUCACCAAAAUCUUAUAGAUUUUAUUUUUUUUUCCGAACUCUUUUUUGCAUAAAGUUUUUUAAAAAAAAAAAAUAGUGAGAGCAAAUAUAGAAUUGGCAUAAAAAGACAAAAGUAGGGGAGAUGUUAAGCAUUUUCACUUCCCAACUUUUUUCCCGUAACAUAGUAAGGGUGAUUUAAUAUAAAAUUCAUAUAGAGGGUAUCGAAAUUUGGAAGAAUAAGGGUGAUUAAAUUCAAAUAUAAUUAUUCGAGUAGUUGUUGUCUUGAUAGACUUAAUUUUUUUGUUACAUAUGCUAUUUGCUUAAAUAGUUAUUAUACUAUCAAAGACAAUUUAAUAAUUGGUUGACAUAAAAAGAUUAAAUAACUAAAAUUCUUUAAGUGCAAAAAUGAAAAAUGGUUAAAAUAGCCAUUGCAAUUUGGUUUUCUCUUUCGUAUUUGUUUGCCUAAAGAAUGAUUAAACUAGUAAGAAUAAUUUUGUCAAUUUAUAUGCAGUUAGGAUGAUUAGAAGUCUCAUUUACCAACAAGGGAGGUAAAUGAUAUUUCUGAAACUUUAAGGAUACUAAAGUGAAAUUAGGUAAAACCUCAAGGGAGGUCUCUGAAAUUAUUCCAAUUUUCAAAAGUCGUUCUAUCUUUUCUACCCAACUCUUCCAUCCUUUGGUUACAAUUUCAAACCCUGCCUGACAACUUCUCCUAGCCGGCAUUUCCACAACCCCCUCCUGCAACUUUUUCCCAAGUAAACGAGGAGUGUAUGAUGAAUUUGACAAAAGAUCUAUUCUCACUUUACAGUGAAAGCAAAGUCAUCUUUGAUGGGCAGGCUUCCCAAAUCCCCUCUUCGCAACUCAAGCUCCAGUUCCAAGACAUCUUAUUCAACCCCAAGUACCCCAUUGGUGCGGAUCAAUUCUUGAAGAGUUCGAACAAUUCAGUUUCUCCAUCAGCUUCCAUAACAGACAGCUCCUGCAUGACAUUGCAUUACGAAGACUAUAAGGGCCAUCACAAGGUCUUCAGUGAAGAAGAUAUAAAGACUCUUAGGCGCAUUUCAGAAAUAUUGACCUCCAGAAACGAAUUGGCGGAUUGUGUUCAGAUGUAUGUCGAGCGUCGAAAGGACGCGGUCAACACGGUAUUUAUGAGACUGCGUGAGAAAUUGAAUGUACAAACCGUCUGUCAUUUUAAUUGCUUGGAUGAGUUGAGUGACAAAAUCAAUGGAUGGAUGCAAAUAGCCAAGUUUUGCAUAGCCACCAUUUUUAAAUUAGAAAAGUGUUUUUAUGAGCAAAUAUUUGGAGACCUGGGAACAUCUGAGGACACUGCUGCUAACGGCCGUUUUGUGUCCAUAGUAGUAGGAGCUGCGGCCGAGUUGUUUGAGUUUCCAGACUCUCUAUUAGCCAGCCGCCGAUUGCCCCAGAGACCAGACAUUUUGAUGCCCUUUUGUCAAGAACUCACCAAUCUAGUUCCACAAGUGAUUGUAUAUUUUGACCAAGAUGUACAACCGGCGAAAGCUAUCUGCGGCCUUGCCACUGAGAUUUUGCUCCGACUGAAACAGCAAAUGACAAAGAUCCUUUCUGUUACAGAGAAACAUGUUCUUCGUGAGCUUUCGACGAUGCCAUUUCCUGGGGGAGGAAUUCACCCCUUAACUAGACACAUAAUUCGUCACAUUGACCUGAUUUAUGUUCACAGGAAAUCCUUAAUUGACUUGGUGGCUAGACCCCAAAGCUCCAAUGAUCGAGAUCCUCCUGAAGUAGUGGGUUCACAUGAAAUGGAUGAAAGGCCAAUUUCCAUAGAGAGCCAUCUAACUCGAGUCAUCGAGUUUUUACUGUAUAACUUGAAAUUCAAGUCCAACUUCUAUGGACAAGAAUCUCUGGGUUUUUUGUUCAUGAUGAACAAUGUUAACUCUGUUUCUGAGAUGAUUAAAAGUUCCGAGGAGUUGGGAGAACUUAUUGGCACUCGCCUGCGGAUGAAAUUAAGUGAAAAAGUGGAGCUGGCAAGGGCUGAUUAUCUCCAUACAAGUUGGGGCGAAGUCUGCGAUUUUUUGAAAGGUAAAGGAUUAAAAUCAGAUUUAAAUUUUGAUUUCUUUCCUGGAAGGUCUACGAGAGCUGUGAAAAAGAAGUUUAGGACCUUCAAUCGUAUGUUUGAAGAUAUACUUCAGACUCAAGAAGGAUGGAUGGUACCAGAUCAGCAGCUGCGGAUGAAACUUCUUGAAUGCAUAAUGGUUAAGCUGAUUCCGGCCUACAAUCAAUUUCUUGAGCAGUUGAGCCGAGUUCACAAAGUGAAGAAUCUGAAUGGGUACAUAACAUAUUCUGUCAAGGACUUGGAGACCAAGGUGCUAACUAUGUUUCAGAGUGAGUAUUGAAGACUGAAGAGUUGGUUAUUUAUCCUUCAAUUCUAUUAGAUGUCAAUUUGAACAGGUUAUACGCACUAGCUGUUGCAAUGUAACUCUCUCCAAAUGAAAAUUACUUUCUCCAAAUGAAAAUUUGGAGAAUCCUUAAAUCGUGUGUACUGUGUAAGAAUGAGGAUCCGCUAUAUGUCUUUGUAGUAACAGAAGUCGCAAGGAAAGUUGAGGAUACGAAGAUGGUGCAGGCAUUAGAGGAAAGUGUAGGGGAAGAAAUGAAAAGAAAAGAAAAGAAAAGAAAAGAAAAGAGCGGAAGCAAAGAUAAAUCAGAUAAAAAGAAACAAAACAAACAAAAGAGCUUGAAAGUAAUGAUAUGAAGUUUAAGUAUCCUUGAAGUUAUUAAUGUGUAUAUUGAAGAAAAAUGAGUAGCUAGAUUACAUGAAAGUGAAGGAGAGAGUUUGUCAGGUGAUUCAAUACCCUACUCCUUUGAGUGAAGUACAGGAAACGCCUUUGAGUUAGGAAUUUGAAGGCGCUGCUUCUGUGUCACAUCUACUUCACGCGUUUGAGCGAGGCAUCUACUCAUAGCCGGAAUCUAAAGGCAAAGCUUCCCUGAGCUUAAAAGUCAUGCCCAUACCAGGAUGCUCCUGUAUUUCUUAAGGUUCAGCAGUUUGCGUGCAUAAAGAUUAGCGUUAGUCACAGUUUUCCUGGGGGUAAUCACGCUUUCCGUUGCUCUACUCCAUUGUCUUCUUACUUUGCUUUGCUCUAUUCCAUCGUCUUCAUUUCGUGUGGCCAAAAUGCCCUACCAGCAUACCUUUUGGCAAGUACGUUUUACGCUUUUAAUGUUUAUGACGGUACGUAUUGUUACUUCGAAGAUGCCUUAUUGGAACAGGUGCUAUCUUGGCAUCGUCUCCCUGUGCUCUUAUAAUCACCUAAACAAAAUACAAAAUACGACUAAAAGAAUUAAGUGACAAAGAUAAAGAAACUUUACAAUCGCCUCCUAUUUUUCCUCUUCUUCACAUAUAAAGUUAAUCCUAGAUCCAUACUAAUCGAUUUGGAAUCCAGUGUUAUGUUUAACUUAGUAUAGCAUUAUUGUUGAAUUUAAAUCUAUUUUUCAAAUACAAUGCUACAUUAACAAACUUCCAAAAAAAAAAAAUUCAAAUACAAAGCUGCGUCAAUGAACUUCAAAAAAAAAUUAUUUUUCAAAUAUAAUGCUACAUUAACACACUCUAAAAAUUCAACGCUACAUUAAUACACUCCAAAAAAAAUCCUACUUUCUAGAUGUAAUGCUAUAUUUACACAAUCUAAAAAAGGUAUCUCAAUAAUACUUCAAAUACAAUUUCAAUACACUUGACAAAAACACACAAGAAAUAAAAAAUAAAAUAAAUUCUAUCACCUCUUUUUUUCUCCACCCACCACCCAUCUCCUCCUCUUUCCUCCACCCCCGUUAUUGUCCCUUGCUCCUCCCUCUUCCCUUCUCGUUUUUCUCUAUUUUUUCCUUCUUCUUUCUCUAUUUCUUCCUCUACCUCCCUGCUUUUUCCUCCCUCUUCCUUUUCCUCUAGGACCUUCCUUCUCCUUUUUCUGCCUUAUUCCUUUUCCCUUUCCUUAUCAUUCCAUCCUUUUCCUUCUCCUACAACCUCCUUCCCUUUCCCCCUCUCCUCCUCUCACUUAAGGGUCUACGAGAAAAGGAGGAAGGGGGGAGGAGAAUUGGGGGAAAGGGAGGAGCGAAGAGAAGAGGGGAUGAAGAAAGGGGAGAGGGGUUGCAGGAGAAAGGGGAAGGGAUGGGAUGAGCGCUGCCAGUGAAGGAAGUAGGAGAGAAAGAAGGGAAGGUAGAGAAAUGAGAUGAAGAGAGGGAGUUAAAAAAGAAGGUGGAAGGGAUGGGAAGAGGGCUACGGAGAAGUAAAAAGGAGAGAGAGAAGGGAAGGAGAAGGAAUGAGAUGAAGGGAGAGGGAUAAAAAAGAAUGGGGAAGAGAGGGAAGGGAAGAAGGGAAGAGGGGUGAGAAGGAAGAGUGAAGAGGAGAAAGUAGGAGGAUGAAGGGAGAAGAGAGGAGUGAUGGUGCUGAUAGAGGAGAGUAGAGGAAGGAAUGGUUUUGGUAUCGAAAAUCAACGGACUUUUAAAAAUAUCCUAAUAGAAUUUUAAAUUUUAAAAACAUUCAAAAAUAUAUCUACGGAUACAAUGAUACAGUGUAAUUUGUGAAAAACAUCUAAAAAAACACUUCAUCCAUUCAAACUAUUUUUUCUUUAUUCCCAGGCCCAAGGAUAAGGUAAUGGCAACCCUACAAGUAGAAAAUUUAUUUUAGCAUGCAAUAAGUUCGUGGCAUGUCUAAUAGUUAGCCAGUCGUCGGGUUAGAUUUCUUUUUUUUUUUUAAUGAAAAUACUCCAAACAAGACCGUGAAAACUUAUUUAGAGUUAUCUUGACUGUCUAGUAAACAUACAUACUGAAGAAGCACGGAACUUCCCCGGAACGAGCUGACCUGAUCAGCUCGGGGUGCUGAUGGAAGAGCUGGCUCCAAGCCUGCAAAACAGAUAAGAGUGAGCUAACAAAGGGGGUCCGAGAGUUGUCCCCGAGAGCGCUCCGACGAUCAAGUUAGUUUUCCGGCGGGAUGAGUUCACGGGAAAUAUAGACGGCCGGUAGCAAUUUGCCAAUAGUGAGCGUACCUUGUACAGUUGAUGUGUUCUAUCAUUUAUACCUGUGCGGAAGUCCGACCUCCGUACGUUUCGGGACCUGCCCAGCAUAGCCCCUAUCCCGCACUCAGGGGGAUUGUCCCCGACCUCUUCGGGAAGGAUGUUCGCCCCCUCCAGGAGCCCUAGCAGCACGGCCCAGGACGGCUGCCAGGGGCCUGGGGCCAAAGCCCAGCUCGGCCGCACCUGGGCUGCCACGUGUCCAGGCCCAGGACGGGGCCUUGCAAUAGCCCCUAGAUUAAGUAAGACUUCCAGGCAGACCUAAUCUAUACUCUGCCACGUAGGAGACCAGCGUCGCGCACUACUCUGCCCCGGUCACCUCUGGUACAGUGCUGUCACUGAGAAAACCGCGCCGAUCUCCUGGGUCGAGCGUCAAACUCCCAAGUUUCGACAAACUUGAUCAAUGCGUGCCGACCUCAUGGGACCGAGCAUCAAAUUGCCACUGACAUGGUUUAAGCCCCCGACUUUUAAAGAUUUGAGCCUUGCCGACCUCCUGGGUCAAACAAACUCAUUCAAGUUAAGGCACAACGUGCCGACCUCUUGGGGUCGAACAUCGCACUUUCCGACUUCAAAAUUUUAAGCCGUGCCGAUCUCUUGUGGCCGAGCAUCAUACUUUGAAGGCAGUCACGCCGACCUCCCGGGUCGAGCGUCGAACUCUGAUUUUAGCGGGUAUGCCAACCUCUUGGGGUCGAGCAUCACAUUUCCAAGGCAGUUAUGCCGACCUCCUGGGUCGAGCGUUGAACUCCCUGAUUUUGGCAGACGUGCCGACCUCUUGGGGUCGAGCAUCACAUUUUUCAGGCAGUCAUGCCGACCUCCUGGAUCGAGCAUUAUAUUCUCAGGCAAUCGUGCCGACCUCCUGGGCCGAGCCAGCAUGCUCCCUGGUUUUGACAAGCUGCCUCAAAGUAAGUCACGGCGUGCCGACCUCUUGGGGUCGAGCAUCACACCUUCAAGACGGUCAUGCCGAUCUCUUGGGUUGAGCGUCAAGCCCCCCGUCUUUAACAGGCGUGCCGACCUCUUAGGGUCGAGCAUCGCACUCUCAAAUUUCGCAAUUUCAAGCCGUGUGCGGACCUCAUGGGGGGUUUUUCCGUCCUCUCCGCUCUCCGAGCCCCCGAUCUGACUCUUUCUUCAGACGGGCUGCCUCCUCUACGUUGACAGCCGCGUGCGCCCUUGUCAGGAGCUGCUCCAAAUUUUUGGGAGGCUGCUCGGCCAAAUCAUAGAAGAGUUCCUCUACCCUGAUCCCGUUCAUGAAGGCGGCCAUUACCACUUUUUCGUUUUUGUCCCUGACCUACAAGCUCUCCGCGUUGAAACGGGUCAUGAAAUUCCUCAGCGACUCGUCGGGCCUUUGCCUGAUGGACAUCAGGUGGGUCGCGUUUUUCGCGUAGGUCUUCGAGGAGACGAACUGGGCUGCGAACUGUCGAGCCAGCUCGGGAAAAUUCCGUAUAGACCCCGGCGCCAAUCCUUGGAACCAGAGCCGUGCUUUCCCCUUCAGGAACAUAGGGAAAGUUUUGCAGCGAACUUCGUCCGCGGCAGUUUGCAGACGCAUGUGCGUCAGGAAAAUCGAGAGGUGGUCUUCCGGGUCUGUAGAGGCAUCGUACAUCUCGAUGUUCGGAAUCUUGAACCUCCGGGGUAGUGGGUAGUCCUCUAUCUGUCGGGUAAAGGGCGAAGUAGCGUAGUCGUCCUCUUACAAACGCGGCCGCAGGAUCUGUUCGAGCUCGUCUUGAACGGGUUUCCGCUGAGGGGGGUCCCGUGGUCGGCUCUUGACAGACCGGGCGGAAGAGCGGUCAAGCCCAUUCCGCACAGGCUUCCUCGGGGAGGGGUUCCUCAACCGGCUCCCCGCGGACCUGUCACGGGAGUACCUUUCACUGUCCCCGACCACCGAGGGUCGCGGACGAGGUGGAAUUCGCGGCCGUUUCCUCCUGGGGGGCUGAUCCCAUGACUCAUCCUCCGAAGGGUCAGGGGGCAACUCCUUCUCUUUCCCCUUAGCCUUGGAAGUCUGCGCGCUUCCAGCCCCCUCUUUCUCCUUCGUUUGCUGGAUUAGGUCCUCCAGCAUCGGGAGGUUCUCCGUCACGAACUGGAGGAUCUGCUGUCUUCGCUCCCCUGAGAGGGCCGAGCCCCCCGCGCCCCCGGCCGCCUCGGUCUCCGCUCGCCGGGAUCCCUCGCCGGCUCUCGGGCCGGUGCUCUCAACGGUUCGCUUGGAUCGUGCUCUUGCCAUCAACACAACAAUAAUUACCUUGCGUUUCCCACAGACGGCGCCAACUGAAGAAGCACAGAACUUCCUCGGGACGAGCUGACCUGAUCAGCUCUGGGUGCUGAUGGAAGAGCUGACUCCAAGCCUGCAAAACAGAUAAGAGUGAGCUAACAAAGGGGGGCCCGAGGGUUGUCCCCGAGAGCGCUCCGACGAUCAAGUUAGUUUUCCGGCGGGAUAAGUUCACGGGAAAUAUAGACGGCCGAGAGCAAUUUGCCAAUAGUGAGCGUACCUUGUACAGUUGAUGUGUUCUAUCAUUUAUACCUGUGCGGAAGUCCGACCUCCGUACGUUUCGGGUUCUGCCCAGCAUAACCCCUAUCCCGCACUCAGAGGGAUUAUUCCCGACCUCUUCGGGAUGGAUACUCGCCCCCUCCAGGAGCCCUAGCAGCGCAGCCCAGGACGGCUGCCAGGGGCCUGGGGCCAAAGCCCAGUUCGGCCGCACCUGGGCUGCCACGUGUCCAGGCCCAGGACAGGGCCUUGCACAUACAUACAUUGAACUAAGGUUGUGGGCUGGUUAUUUGUUCAAAUUGACGGUUUCAUAUUAGUCAAAGACUAAACUGCUGGCUUGCAAUGUUAAUUUAUUGGACCGUAAUAAAAUCUCUCUUUAGAGUCACAAGACGGUUUAUUUUGAAGUAGCAUGAUAAGAUUAGAUCUUACAUAUCACCUGAUAAAAGAACAACUUUAUCACUUCGAACCAAUUCUUGCUCCGAGGUACACUUAUCACAAACCAAGCACUCAGUUACCAAGAUUUUGGAACCAGCCUUGAACAAGCCCAUUGCUUCCAGUGACCAUCUGUAACGGGAGGAACCAGACUUGAACAAUUGUGGAGCCCGAAGAACUGCAGGUUGGCGGGCUAAUGCAGAAACAGUUGUUUGGAGCCCUUUGUUAGUUGAGGCCCCCCAAUUACCAAAUUUUGCAGUACGUAAGGUUAAGGUUUUUUUUUUUGAAGGAAACUGUAAGGUAAAGGUUGAGGGAGAGACUCAUACAUCAUCCAAUCGCACCUUAACAGGGCUGACGUAACUCUACAUUAUUCUAUUAUCAAAAAAAAAAAAAAAAAAAAAACUCUACAGUAUUCUAGAAGCAGAAAGUCCUAGAAGCAGAAAGUCGCACGUGUAUCCUAACAACACAAAUACCCAAUAGCAAACGCAGCCAUAUUCAGUCUUUAAUAACCAGAACCAAAGCAAAUAUCCAAAAAGCAACAGCUGGCAUAUUCACUACUGAGUAAUUCACAGUUCAGCGCUCAGCCGUGAAAGAAUGGGAGUGGAGAAGCAAGUCGUAAGGCCCGGAGGGGGACCCAAACCCGUUCCCGGUCAGACCGUCUCCGUCCACUGUACCGGUUUCGGUAAGUGCCCUCCAUUUCCAAACCCCCUUCCUCUCUCCCAUUUGCACCUUUGCCUUUCACGCCGUUAUAUUAUUAGUGGUAGUCUGUUUCAUAUGAUUACCAAAGAAUACUUUUAAUUUUCCUAAUAAUAAGAAUAUGUUGUGUAUUUGCAGGAAAGAACCGUGAUUUGUCUAAAAAAUUCUGGAGGUAAUGACGCAUGUAAAAAAUUAUUUUAAAAAUUUGUGAUUUUUUUUAGUACAAUUAUUUUCAGCAUUACUUGCUUGUGAUCUGAAAUCCUUGUUAAUUAUAGCACCAAGGAUCCAGGGCAGGAGCCGUUUGCUUUCCAGAUUGGCCAGGGGAAAGUUAUCAGAGGUAAUAUUAAUCAUUAUUGUGCCCCGUCUGUUAAUUCUUGUCUCAGAAAGAAAUUUCCUUUGUAAUGAUAUCCCAUUGUGGAGUAGCUUAUAAAAAUUGUUUUACUAAAUUUUUGAUAAAAAAAAAAAGGAGGAAUAUUUCAGAUAUUCUGCUGAAUAUUGGUGAGGACUGGAUAGGCAGAUUAGAUGACUUAGCUGAUGUUAGAGUGUAGAGGUUAGGAAAAUGUGCGGAGCCACAGGGGCUGGUUUUCAUGGUAAAGAUGGAAGCUUUAAAUCUCUAAUAAAACCCAGCGAACAUUUGAAUUGACCGAAAUUCCAAAAGGGAUGUGAAUUCGAAUCCCUUCCAGUGUAACUAUCAUUCUCAAGGAUAUUUUUCUUGAAUUAUUGUCCUUUUUCUUUUCUCUUCUUUUUAUUGGGGAGCGGGAUUGUAGUGCCUUUUCUCAUAAAAUCUAUCAGUUUUCUAGGCUGGGGAUGGGGAGUUCUUUAUGUUGAGAUUAGCUUUGUUAUUGUGCGUUCUGUAUAAUCUGUUUGGGUGGCAGCAAACAGAUUUUAGUGUUUCUUCCUUGUCUGGCUGCUCUGGCACGCCAAUUUGGAAUGAUAAAUUCAUUCCAUGUUGCGGCAAUCUUCUGAUUAUUCCAAGUAAUGUUGGUUGUCCUAUAUGACAGAAGAGUUGAUGUCAUCUAUCUUAGGCACAAUGUAUUGAAUUGCUUCAUCCAAGAAUUUUAGCUUUUUCCUUAGUUGCCUUGCUUGUUCUCUCCUAUGCAGGAUGGGAUGAAGGUGUACUUGGAAUGCAAGUGGGAGAAGUUGCGCGCUUAACGGUAAAAUCAUGCACUUGAGUUGUUUCUUGCUUAGCUUUUUACUAGUAAAUAAAUGUCAUUUGCUAAGAACACCUUGUAAAAAAAAAAAGCAGCUAUGAAUGAGGAUGUUAUGAUGUGUGUCUUGUAGAGCAAAGCUGAAUAUCUGGGAUAUUAUAGUAAGACAAGAAUAGAGAAAAAGGAAAAACCUUUUAAAAGACGGUUUUGUAGCGUCCAAGCUGACUACCAGAUGCACCAUGGCUAAUAUCUUCUGCUCAUAAUUUUGAGCUAAUAGAGCCAUUAGAAAGGCUGAUCAUGGAAGUGUUGAGAAUGGUAGGUAUCUUGGGAACGAAUAACAGAAGAGGCGGCUGUGAUACUGCUAUCUUUGUGGGUUUGAGCCUAUAUAUUUGCUUUGGACAAAAUAAGUAAAUUUGUCCAUUUAUUGUUGGUUUUGGAUGAGUGCCUUAGGAUCUAUAGACUUCUAACAUUCCAUAGUCUAUCUCUCUGUCUCCAAAUUAACUACACGGUUUUGCAACGAAAGUAGCACCUAAGAUCUCCUAUUUAACGAGUGUUCACUGGGCAUUUGUUAACCAAACAUUUUCUCUUAAAACCAUUUUAAAUUGUUUUUACCCAGUCUGCAUUUCAAUGCAGUAUGGUGACUGUUUUUUCCUCUAUUAAAUUGUUCCAAAUUUAUGCAGUGUUCCCCCGACUAUGCUUAUGGUCCUAGUGGUUUCCCAGCAUGGGGCAUUGAGCCUAACUCUGUUCUGGUUUUCGAGAUUGAAGUAUUGGGUGUUCAGUAAUUAAUUACUGGCUCUGAUGCUGCGGGUUGCCGAUGGUAGACAUCUGAUGUAGAGUCCUUCAGCAGUGGGUGUUAGUUAAUUAUAGUUUGUAUUUUUAUCUGAAUAAAAAGGCUUCGAGCUCUUCAGCCUGCCGCCCGAUGUAGAAUGCCUUAGCAGUGGGUGUUACUCUGUAACUGGUACCGAAAUUGCAGCCUCCUCUCCUCUCUCUCAGAUUAAAAAUGGAGAUUAUGGUUUCCUAGUCGCUUUAUGGUACUACAACGUUUUCAUACGGCUUUUGUUUUCCAGCUGUGAGCUCGGAUCUAAAUCAUCUGUGGUAGUGGGUAAAAGGAACAAUCCUCCAUGAUUGGUCAAAAUACCUCGACAUUUUGACAUGAUCGACGAAAAUUAUGAAACUCAGAUUUUGAUGCAUGUGGUGUGCAACAAUUUGAACCAAACCACUGAUUAUUUCAUAUUUUUAGCUAGAAGCAUCUCAUUUUCAGAGAAAUUUCAGUACUUUUGCCCCGCAAUCCGCAUUCAUUUGAAGCUGCAGCUCAUUCAAAGCAACAAUCAUGGCUUUACAUUUGGUUGGAUUCCAAACGUUAACAAUCAUACCUGCAAGUAUUACCCGUGUACAAAGAUGUCUACUCGCUCCUCGGCUUUCAACUUAUUUAGGUUACAGAGUAGUGUUUGAUAACUAACUAUAUCUCAUUUGUUAAAUUUAGGAGUAAAGUCUUUCAUGAAAAAUCUUAUUUCUCUAUUUCCUUUCCUUUCCUUUCACUUUUAUUCCCUCAAAACAAACAGAGCCCCUUUAGUACAAACUCAAAAUUAGUAACUUUGAUGUUUUAAAAAUAAGAAAAUUAACUUAACCAUUUUAUCAUAGAUUUUACACGAAAUGAAGAGAUAAAUAUGUUGCAAAAAUUCAAAAUUACAUAACGUAGGAAAACACACUUAUAAUAAGUGUGCGCCUAAACAAUUGAAUUAAGCAGCUAAAAACUUCCAAUGAACGACAAGUGCCAAUAGAUGAGACAAAGUAGAAGCAGGAAAGGGGUAAAACCGUCCUAAAAUUUCUUAUGCACUAUAUAUUCCAGUUCCCCCGUUCUUUCCCCCACUCAGACAAAUUUUCUCCGGCCUUCCGCUCAACUGUUCACUUCAUGUUCUUUCUCUCCACUCAAGCGCUCUCUAUCUGGCGGGCGCGACCCAUUUGUUCUUUUGGAUCUUUCCUUGUGUAAGUCCUUUUUCCAACUGUAUUAACCUUUUUUACUGGUCGGAUUUUCCACCUGUUCAUUUUUGUCUUGUUUAAUCCUUAAAUCCUCAAUUCUUGAUCAGUAAAUUCAUGAAGUCCUCGUCUUUUUAUUUUUAUUUUUUUUGGGUCUUUUGUCGGAAAAAAAGUGAUUCUUGUCAAUAAGUUCGAAGUACGUUCGCUUAGCCAGCUUUUCUUAGUACAUGAGUGAAACGCUUGUAGGCUUAACAAUAAAGAUGGGAUUUUUAUUUUUUUCCUUUUGUCGAAGUUUCUCUGGUCGAUCUUUUCUCCUUAUGUCCUACGAUUAAUUAUGAAUUGAAAGUUCAAUGAUUUCAUGGGUUAUGUUUCUUUCCUCGAUUACUAUUACUUACCUGAGUUCUUUGAGCUGUUUCAUGGAAAUAAAGAAAUUAAAUAGUGCCAUGUUGGCUAAAUUUCUUUUUUCUUUUUCUUUUUCUUGUUCCCUUUCCUUUUCCUAGUUUUUCUAAUUCUUCAGCGUUAUACUUCAUUUUCAUGCACAUAAAUAGGGAAAUUCAACUUCCAAUGCCAUAUUAGUUAAUGUUCUUUCUUGCUUAUAUGUGAAAGGCAUGCGCACUAGUCUGAGGAUCAUAAGAUUCCAUUAUGUUUAUCCCACUCUACUUGAAUACUGCUGUUCUUAUGUUUGUUGAUCAUUUAUAUAUUGCAGGUAACGGGCAUGUCGCACUACUGCUGAGGCUAUAUUGAUCUCACCUAUAAGUGAACAAUAUGCGGUGGAUUAGUUUGUCCAUUGAUGUGUUUCGUCAAGUUAUCUCCUUGAAUUUGUAUUGUAGGGUUAUUCUGUAAAUGAUCUCAGUUGUCCUUAUUAAACCAGAAUUACCUCUUGAUUCUUUUGAUCUCGUUUAACAAGAUUUCAAUGGGGUCCAAUCACUUCUCUUUCAUUGCUUCUAAUAUCUAUAUGAUCAGCUGAGAAUUAUUUAUGGUCUUAAGCAGUUUUAAGUUCAUUCCUCUGACACCUCGUCUCUUGCCAGUACAUCUUGUAGUUCCUUCAGAUUUGGUACACUCCUCGUUUUCUUAUCUUUUCUUUUUUCUUUGGUCCUAUCUUUUGUUCUAGAUUUCUAUUUCUAUUGUCGUAGUCUUGCGUAGAUUUUGAAACUGAUUCAAGGUGCAAAAGAAAUUAUGGUGUGCCAAGCAGCAAGCCAGACAAGAUUCCGGGCUUUAAAACAUGAAAAUGGCAUAGCAGGGACACCAACCAUUGUAGUUAGGGUGAUAGCAUGCUUUCAACCUUUGCAAAAUUGUCAGGUUGGUUCAAGAUUGUGUUAGGGUGCUUGCUAAUGCGUUUCAAGUUGUAGUCUCUUUACCCUUUAUGUUUACUCUUUGGAUUUGUGUUUUCUUAAUGUGACAGGUUUUUCUCUGUACUUGAUAAUGAUGGAGAAGUUACUAAAUCCUACUUGUUUCCUUUUGGAUUUCUGUAGGCUGAGUACUUCCGUCACUUGCUUAAACCAGUUACGUAGAUUGAUAGUACGUUUUCAAUAGUACGUGAGGCUGGAGUUUGAAUAUUUUGAUUCAUUAUUUUGGUUUCUAAAAGUGUGGACGUUGAAGAUUCAUUACAAUCAGUUUUCUGGUAUGGUUUUUGACAUCUUGCUGCUGUUCAUCUCCAUUGCCUUUUAUUGCUUGGAAUUUUCUAAAAUCUGGCAAUUUUAUGUCUCAGAUUAUUGAAUUAGCUGGAUGUUUACAGCCUACGAUUUUCAGCAUUCUCAGCACCAUUAUCUGUGGGAUUCUCCUCGCUCAAAUGACAGUACUGCUGUUCCAGAUACAGGGACUUCAGCUUUUGGGCUUCUUCAUUUUAAAACGGACCAACUUGAUGGAGUUCGGGGACCUUUCCAAUGGUUGCCUCCUCAAAAGGAGAGCUCGUCUCCCACAGCAGCUCCACAUUUUGAAGAAUCUCAACGUGCUUUUGGUCAUGGACAUGGUGUCGAACCUACAUUCAAGGAUGUAUCUGCAUCCGCUCAUAAGAAGUUUCUCAUUUUUGAUCAAUCUGGGGAUCAAGUUAGAUUGAUCUCGAGAUCUUUUCGUUCACCUUACCAAGAUCAGAUUAUCAUGCCCAUGACACCAGUUGAUUUUCACGAUUUGCAAGGUGAAGCAGGACAAUCACAGAUAAUGAAGCCUCCUCCGCAUACUGAGCACCAUCCGCAUACUGAGCACCAUGUAAAGAGUGAAGGAGGUGACAUGCGUGAGGACACAGAAGAAAUCAAUGCGUUGCUCUACUCUGAUAGCUUCCCUGGGAAUGAUGAUGAUGUUGAUGGUGAAGAUGAUGACCUGACUAGCACCGGGCAUUCACCUUUUACAAUCAUAGGUGGCAUCGAGAUGCAUGAGAAGGUUUGGGAACUUACUGAGGAAGUUGGUAGCACUGAUGGUUCAACUAAAAGGCAUAAAUUGCUUGAUGGUGGUUACAAGAAAUCAUCGUUAGUGGACACUGCAGAUCCAUUGAAAUUGGCUAAAUUUUGCAAUGAUGAUAACCAUGUGGAGACAAAUUGUGCCAAAGGUGGGGACCUCAAUGAGGAGAUGGACUCCAAUAUCAACACAACGCAAAAGCGGGCCAAAAUUUGCAAGACGUUGAGAAUUCUUGAAAGUAUAGUUCCUGGAGCAGAGAAUAAAGAUCCAAUCUUGAUCAUUGAUGAUGCAAUAAAUUACUUGAUAUCAUUGAGGGAGAAAGCUGAAGCUUUGGGGCUUGGCCACCCUGAAGUGCAGUGCUCCCGUCAACAGUAGUACAUUUCGGGUGCUUUUUUACUGAGGCAGUACGAUCAAGGGAUAAGUUGAUCUCGUCUCUUUUGACUGAAAGGGAUGGAUAGGUGGUUUUUGCUGUGUGAAGCUUUUGUGAUCUUGUUAAAGCUAUAGUGCAGUUUGCUUUAAAAAGCCAAUAGAGGAAAAGCUUAAUGAGGUGAAAAUUUUCAUCUUUGCUUACAGGAGGUGAAGAAAACUGGGGCUAUAAUUGCCGGGUAGAAAUGAUUGUUCAUUUGCUUUCGGGAUUGAAAAUAGCCAGAAUUUUGAACGCAUGGUCUAGGCAGAGAGGUGGGCUGUGCUGUAAAUGAGGACCUCUUUUGCCAACAUGUUGAAAACACAAUGGAUUAAGUGCACGCGCAUUUGCUAAUUUGGGUCCCGCCUUCCACUCUUCACCUCCAUCUUGUUUUCUUGAUUCUAAGCUUUGUUAUUUUUUUUUUACCUUAUGUGGCUUUCAAAGAAGCAGCUAAGAUGUUGGGCUGAAGCAGCAGUGAAGAGAGCUGAGAGUAGAAAGGGGGGCCCGGAAGAUUCAUCAUGAAUAUUUGAUGCUCAUCCAUGACCAAAUCUUGUCUUAAAAGGCUAGUGCUAGUAUGUUUCUUUAGUGAGCUGUGCAGAGGAUUUGUGCUUUGCCUUUGCUGCAAAGAAGAGUCUCCUGUAGGCCGUCUUCAUGAGCACGUGGGCAUCAAUCUUUAAUGCAGGAUUUUAUUUGUAUGUUUCGUUGAGUACAACAGUUGUUUUGGGUGGAUAUUGCAAUGUAAUCCUGGUUAUGUAGUGCCUAUCUGUUUGGAUUAUGACUUUUGGCCGCUGCCUGUUGUUUGUUAUUAUUAUUUUUCCCCUUUGGCAGCAGUGCUUUUCGGUCUUGCUAUGCUAUAAUUCAAUUUAAUUUGACAUUUCCAACAUUAACCCACUGCUAAACUGUGCUGUAUUUGAUUUGAUUGCUACAUUAGAGAGGAUAAUCAAAUCAAAGGACCCUUGCUGCUGUGGGAGGAGUUGGACGACAUUCUUCUGGACUGCAUGAUUUCCAUUGAAGAGAGAAGACUUAACGAGUGUGUGUAUGUAGGGGAGGGUACAAAUAGUUCUCAAAAUGAGAGAGUUGAACCUUGAGAAGGAAAAGGGGGAAUCCAACGGUUUAUAAGGAAUUCGUAGUCGAAAGUUUUCCCUACAAAGGAGGGUUGUGGGGAAAACUAAUGAGGUAGCCCAUCAAGAGAAGAGAAGAGAAGAGCACGGCCGUUCUUUCUCUUUUUCUCGCUGCAAACAAUUGUACUUACCGUUCUAUAGAGUUAGAGCACGGCCGUGCUACUACCAACCUAAUGAGGUAGCCAAGCAUGGUAAAGAAGCAUUCUUUUGUCAAUUGUUACUUCUACAUUUUAAUUAGAGUAUUUGCAUUUUACCAACUUUACAGUAUCUCCACAAGGCGCCCAAAAAAAAAAAAAAAGAAGCGAUUUUAUUCACUUUUUUGGGUUUUCCAUAAUAGUCCACGCACAUGAUUAGUUGAUCGCUGUGCUUGCAAUGCAGAUUCGGCCCGGCUAAAAGCCAGAGAACAGCAUCCGAAUGGAUAGCCGUUGGGGCCCAAAGGAGCUACCCAAAACCCCCAAAGAAAACGAGGGUCGAUUUUGUGUCUUCAGCAAAUUCUUAGUGCCAAGGCAUGUGCUGACUCGUAUUAAAAGUCAAAGUAACAAGUAUGUGUAAGCGUAAGAUCCAUUCAUAUGGAUAUGUCCAUGCUUAAUGUAGUGAAUGGUAAUUGAUAUUCUGCAUGCUGACUUCGGCAUUAUGGUAGGACUGUCUCCAAUAUAUUAGUUUCUUGGAUACUGUAUGAUACCCUAACAACUUUGUCUGGCUUUGAACUAUUCUCAUGAUAUACAAUUAGUGUUCCAUUGAUAUUCAGGAAGCUGAUGAAUUGUUCCUUCUCUGCAAUUUUGCGUGCAAGAUCUUAUGGAAAAACUGGACAACUAUGACAACCUACAUGGAGAGAGAGAGAGAGAGAUAAUGCCACUGAUAAUCCUUUUCCAAUCCAUCCAGGUCCCAGUGUAUGCUUGCCCAAUUGCUUAUAUGCUCCACAUCAAUGGAAUGAAAGAUACAAAUUGAACCUGAGAAUUUUCAAGACCUUUUCAGCCUGAACUUUUUCUUGAUACAUCCAAAGUUGAUUCAUUGAAAACAUGUAAUGUGCUUUUGCGGGAAAAAUGAUAAAGAUGUUCCACUCGUGCAACUAAAUCAUAAUGCAGAACACACUUAAACAAACAUGGCAAUUGCACCACAACCACUCACCCAAAGACAGAAGGAUCAAAUGUGAAAGUUCCUAAGAUAAUUCCUGUGAAGGAGGAGGGAACCUUUGGAGUACUCCUAAUAAGAGGAAAAAAAAGAAAGACGACUACAGCUACAGGAAUAGAAAAAUGAAAUAUAGGGGGAUCAAGUUUAUCAGGAAAUAUCUUACUUCUUCACUUCCUUAGGUCUCAAGAAACGGAAUUUCUCCACCUUCUAGGUGCCUUUUUAGGUUGUUCUGGAUUCGAAAUCUGGGGUCCAUCAUCAUGGUUUUCCAAAUUUGACAUCUUGGUGAGCUUGCCUAGCUUUUUCCAUCCUGAGGUCCAUGCGAAAGUUUGCUUUGGCUUAGCCAUCUUAUCGAACUGUCUCUGUAAGGUUUCAAAGUCGUUUUGGAGUUCCAAGUACUUAGCCUUGACUGUUUCAAGCUCAAACUUGAGAGUGUUGAUGUCCUUCUUGGCAGUUGCCCAUCCUUCUUGAAAUGACUGUGGCGUCCCUUCAAGCAAUGUCUUACGGGUUGACACCAUUGGGUGGUAGUGGGAUUCUCCAGCUUCCUUGAGGGAGCUACUAGCUAUUGCAUUGCUUAUCUUCACCUGUUCAGAGAAGAGAACUUGCACUACUACUCUUAGAGGAAGCCGUUCAUUCUGAGCAGCAUGCAUGCAUGCAUCAAUUGAGAGCUUCUGGCAAUCCAUUACACGGCAAAGCCUCUUCCUUUCAUGCUCUGAUAGUGUUGGAUGGGCCUAUCAACUCUUCAAUGCGUUAGAUUCUAAGUAAACUUGGAUGAGCUUCAUUAUAUGCAAUAUUUGAAGCAAUAAAUGUAAACGGCAUAUUGAGCAUUAUUAUGAAGGCACAUAGUGACUCGUUCAUAACUUCUAAUUUUGUGUUGUAAAUUUUUCAUCUGAAAUUCUUCUCUUUGAUCUUCACAAUGCAUAAUAAAUAUCGACGUUUGUUUUAACUUAGAAUUUAAAGAUUUUGCAACUAUUCUCUGGCCCUGUCUUCCUUCUAUACUUAUCCAUUUAACAUAAUUCUUAACGGAUGCAUGCUUUAUAAAAAGACCAUAUCACACAAAUAUUUUAUUUUGAGGAGCUCGUCAGCUCGAGGACCAACCUGUUUUAACACCAUAUAUUGGUGAUGAACAGAUAUCCUCACAGAAAAUCAAUGAAAAAUAUAGUUACUUUAGAAAAUCGCGAAAAUUAAAUUUCAAUUACCUUCAGGUAGGAAUCAACAGCUCUAUAUAGUCCAUCAUCACAGGUUCUUGCUGAAUCAGGUAGAGCUUCUGCCAAGACCUGAAAUUUCGUUAGGGAGAGAUUUCUAUCUCUGGACACCUCUGUUAGAUAACUGUCAACCAGCCUUGCCACUCUCAUCUUAGCAUUUGGAUUUGUACCCCUUUGGGGUGCUUCAGCAAAUGAUUGUCUGCUAGGACUUGAACUUUCUGUCUGCUCUUGGACAAGGAAAUGCUCCAGUAGUCUUUGAACUAGAUCAACAUCGUAUAAUGUUUCACUCUUGUUGUAUGAAGGAAUGAGAAGAUCUGCCAAUGUAGCCUGUUCAAACUGCAUGCCUACCCUCUUUUCCAAUUCAGUAACCAGAGCAGCAGCUACUUUCAACAAGUUUGCCAUUCUCAACAGUCGAAGAAGGAAGCUACAGGAAACACUGUCCUUCUGGGGAGGUAUUAAGCUAAUAAGGCUCUCAAUAAUCAUUCUUUGAUCCUUAGCCUGAACAGUUGGUAUAUCUUCUUUUGUCCCUGCUACAAUCAUAUGGAGCCCCCCUUUCCAACUUCUGUUUAUGUCAUUAGCGUGGCUGUAAUUGCUUCCCUCAUCAGCUGCUGCUGAUCCCUCCGUUAUUAGUCCUGGAAGCCAUUUAGCUGCGUAAUGCAUUAUUGCAGCUCCAAUUAGUUCAUGUCUCAUCCCCUUUACCUUAAUAGCAGUAAUAACACGUACAAAGUGAUCAAUCCUGAGAAUCGAAACAUCUUCAAACCACCAAUCAGGUGGCACUUGUUGGUUUCUGCUUGGACUGGAAUCCUUCAUUUCAUUCCAACUAGGGCUAGAUACUUUUGGGGGCCUCCCUGUAUAUUGCCAUCUUAUUCCUUUUGGAUUAGCACAAGCUUUCCAGGCAAUGGACUCGCUGCAUCUUCUGACAAUUUGAAGGUUCUCUGCCCAUGGCGACAGCUUCUCACUAUUUUUAAGUACUAGUAUAGAAUCUCUCCAUGAUGACAAAACCACGUAGCUGAGAAAAGCUUCUGUCUUGAAUAUUAGAUUGCCUUCUUCUAAGUCCUCUGUCAUUUCCAGGUACUCUGCUGCACAUCUAAGGCCAGAGAUAUUGUUUGCUGUCAGAUCAACAGCAAUCCCAUAGCAAAAUUUUGCUGCAAGCUCAAAAGCCUCAGGUCCACCUGGGAGGUCAUCUAAAACUAUCUUGUUCAGGUCUUCCCGUGAUUCAUAUAUGAUUCUGUUCAACUUGCCACUUCUAGAAAGCAGAGGAUACUUGAGAGACGAGAGAAAGAAUUAGUAUAUCAUCUAACCCCAACCCUUUUACAACCGUUAUUAGUAAUUCUAUGUACACAAGUUGAGAAAUGAGAAAAAUGUUAGAAUAGGAUGGCAGCUACCUUAUGUAAAUGGAAAUUAACAUCUCCAAUUUGAACUAAAAAGUCACUUGGGAUAUCAGUUGCAACAUACCUAUUUACAGGACAAGCACACCAAACAUUAUAAGUAACUUGCUUUAACAUUAAUGAUGAUAUUGCAAGAAAGAGAUACGAGGUUCACCACAGAAAGUUUACGCUUUCAAUUUAUGCAUCUUCUCCUAAACAUACUCACUCACUCGAGGCUUUCACAGGAUGAUUAACUUGAAGAUGAAAAUGCAAAAAUAAAGAUCCAAGCAAUGCUGAACAAAUGAGAGAAACAUACCAAGACUGGCCUCUUUGCUCAAAACCAUCGGUUUUAAGUCCAUGCUUGCUUAUGCUGAGAACUCCAUUGCUGUAAUCUCGCCCUCCUCCGGUCUCGCUUUCCGCGUCCCACAUGGUGAGUUGAGGAAGCUCAGAAAACUUCAGAUUGAAUUUUAGAGUUAAGUGCUUUGCUUCAGAUGAGGAGCAGAGAAAGUGAGAUGAACAACAAAACAGAACAAGUAGCUAGAGAAGCUGCACCAAUGAGCCAAAAAAGGUAUCCCACAUGGGGAUGCUUGGAACUAUCUCCAAUUGUCGGCUUCUUCACUGAUUUCCAAAUGACUCCUACAGGCUGGGUUGCGAUGGGCUGACAACUAAUAUGUGUUUUUGGAGCACUUGAUUUCUUGAUUUGAUCUCUAAUAUAUGGAUAUACUUUCUCCAAGUAGCCAGAGUGGGAGACUUUGAGUUUGUGUGCAGCCUCUCACUACUGAUUUUUUAACAUUUUUUGAGCCACUGUUUCAAGAGUUCUUUAAUCGCCCCUUUUACAAACAUUCAGGACUGUGCAGGGAUUUUCUUUCAGCACCGAACUAUUCUUCUGAUUAGCAAGUACGAUAGGUUGGCAGGGAAUUUUGCAUCUUGAUGAAAUUUGGAAUUUGGAAUUUGGAUGUAAUGCAACUAAAUGGACCGGACCACCUUCGACUUCAGGGUAUACCUAUCUACGUACCCAAAAAAUAUCUCAAAGAAAUAACAAGUCUUUAAGCAAACUCUUUAAUUCUCGAGCCAGCCUUCCUUAUUUUUACGUUCGAAAGCUCCAUUUAUUCUUUUUGUUUCUUCGGGAAGUGUGGGGGAUUAUAUAAUUUUGAUGAGCAAUAGGCCGUACUAUUCGCGCUGAUAAUACGUUAGCAAGCUUUCAUUUUCAUGCCAAUUAUUACAAUCUGAAGAUUAGCAAGGCGCAUCUAUCUAUCUAUGGUCAGAUUGAUGAAGUUUUGAUCAUUUUGAUGUCUGGAUUUUUUUGACUAAUGGAGAGUUAUUAGUUUUAAGUUGCACCCACGCAGGAGAAAUACAGAGUGCCCAAACAGGAUGACGAAAUAUAUAGCAGCGGUUAUUGUCUUUCACCUUUGGAAGAUUCAGCAGUGACAGCGGGGUGGAUAAGGCUAAAAAGGAGUACUUGCAGAGCAAAAGAAUUUGGCAGAAUGCAACAAGGUGGAAAGGGGCUAGCUGCUCUCUUGCAGUUUUAGUAGUUUUUGAGUACCACGGAUAAAGCAGAGGGCUUCCACAACCAAUCACCAGUUUUAAUGAUAAGGCACAGAGUGGAUAGCAAUGCACGACAAAUGCGAAGAAGAAUUCAAUAAAUGUAAAUAUUAAAGCAACAACAUGCAAAACACAACAAUUUUUUGACACUCCUAUAAAAUUAUAUGCCCCCUCCCCCCCCCCCCCCCCCCAGAUCAAUCUGACACCGCGGCGAAAGCAAUUUAAAAACCUGUAAAAUACAAGAUUCGAAUCAGAAUUUAAAAAAAAAAUUAGAAUUUCAAAUCCAAGAUUCGAAUUAGAAUUUCAACAAGAUUCAAUUAGAAUCUAACCACUUGAGAACAUUCAAGAACAAUUAUAUAUAGACCCAAUACAAUUGUGUUAAAAUUUCAAUAAUAUUGUCAAAACCUGUAAAAUAAAACCCUAGAGAACCUUGUGAGUGGAUUUUUGCAGUUUCAAAAGUUGAUUUCCUUCUAUGUCCUCACGUGUUCCUACACUUUUCACACGACCCCCCUUAGACUCCCUUGUCUCGAAGGGAUAUCUCAUAGCAAAUCCCUCCAUCUCAAAAGAACUCAACCCCAAGUUCAUAAUGAAGAACGCAAUAUUCAAAAGUGAAAAUACGCCAGCAACUUUUUCAUAUAAUUUUUAGAGUCGAUACUUGUGAUGGAACCUUUGUAUCCAAUUAUGAAUAGAAUUAGAUAGGUGCCCUGUUUGGAAUUUAAGUUUUUUGACAAUUUUAUCUACUACAAAUUUUUUAAAAAUUUUAGCUACAGUAACCUCAAAAAUUUUUUUAAAAUUCUUAAACUAUACAUUUCAAAAUAUUUAAAAAUUUACACUCUUCAAAAAAAUUUUACAGUAUACUACAGUAAAAUUUUAGAUAAACUUUUAAAAAACUCACCCUCCAAACGGGCCUGCGUCCUUUAAAAUUCCAAAAUUCAACAACUUCAGCAAUUUGCAUUUUGAAAACAAGUCUCAUUUUCUCUUCACAAAAAGAUUAUGAACUAUAUACACAGAUCCCUAGGGUUAGGGUUAAUCGUGGCAAAAUUCGUCUAGUCUCAUCAUCCGAAAAUGACGACUUGAUGUGAACCACAUUGAAUAAGAACGCGAUCAUGAGCCACUCUCCUGACACAUCUAUUCCAUUCUUUGUGAUCCAAAUUAUGGUGAAACAUUACACAAGAAAUGUACUACGAUAUCAACUGAUGCGACGGCAGAAGCAAUUUAAGAGAACCAGUUUCAUGAACUAAUUCCAUAAUAAUAAAGAAUCAAGGGUGAUUUAUGAUGAACCCUAAAGAAAAUCAAAAUUCAAACGCUCAAGAACAACUAUAUAUAGACCCAAUACAAUUGUGUUAAAAAUUUAAUCAUAUUAUUGUCAAAAACUGUUAAAUAAAACCCCUAUUCACAGGAUACAAGUAUUCCAAACGAAAAAGGAGAGAAAAUACAAUAAUGAAGUUAGGAAAAACGAUGAUGAAACUUCACACUGCCACCAAUCCAGGAUCUGCUCGCCGAUCCGUUUCGACAAUUUCAGAAGUUGAUUCACGGCCAGGUCUAGAUCCACGAACGGAUUGGGGGGGCUAGGGAAUGGAUCUUGUACGCGACUCUUUUUUUUAAAAAAAAAAAAAAAUGCAACUUCAAAGGUUUUCUUUCUCUUUCCUUGCGUGUCAAUUCCCACAUCUGAGAAGGAGGUUCCACCAAAGAAUCUCAUCUAUCCAAUUUCAAAUUAAACACAUCCCCGCUGUUAACUACACCAUACGAUCCAAAACUGCAAUUAUAUAAGCCUCUGCAAUCUGUUUUAACACAAAUGGUACAGUUCAUUAGCUUUUAGUAUCUAUCAAAAAUUAGGGGAGAAGAACAGGAAUGAAUGUAAGCAGCAAUUCUACGAUUAUCCAAAAAAAAAAAAUGUAAAUGCCUCGAUCUUGUGGUGUACAUUAUCUUUUAACAUCAUAUCAUAUGUAGAGUCCACCAAAAAUUGUUCCAUGCUUGUAUUGUAUUCAAAUUAGUUUGCAUAGUUGAACAAAAGAUUUUUUAUAAUAUUAAACAAAAGAUUUAUAUUAUGUUCAAUUCACAGAACCAUUCCCAGACAUUUGAUUUGAACUGUCCCGUUCCCAAAAGUUAAAAAGUUUUUAACAGGAAGUCAAGUGAAGCAUCUUUGACAGCACUACUUGGCAAUUUUGUGCCACAAGAAUUCCUCCGCUAAGGUAAUUGGAGAAGGAUAUUAGUUGGUCCAUAAUAUCCAGAUCAGACAUUAAUGGGUGCUUCAAUCAUUUCAAACAUUUGUCCUGGGGUGCAGUGCAUUUCCAAUACGCCUUGAGCUGAUUUGAUGGUAUUACAGCAUCUGGAAUUAUGGUUGUACCAUCGAGGGAGCUGGUGAAUGGGUCCCUGAGUUGCACAAGUUGUCUUGCAGUGACGGACGCUGUGGAAAAGAUUGAACUUAUGCAAGUCCCCGCCAAUGGGGUCUUCAACACAUUUAUCGGCCGCUGUCAGAAUUGAUGAGCCCUAUCCAGCACCAUCCCUUUGCAUUAAUGACCAUCACCCCACUCAAUACUCUAAUCAAAAGCCGCCUAAUAUCUCUGUCAUGUCAUUAACCUGCAUUCUUCUCGUCAAGGAAUUGUCCCCAUUCCAUACAUUAGGGGAUUUUUGUUGUCUGUUCAUGGAAUGGGAUCAGAAAAAGGAGACUUUAUAUAGGAUAAUCCUCUCUUGACUUCUCGUUUUAACUGAUUUUGACCUGAUGGGCGCUUCUCUAUGCCAUAAAAGUGGUGACCGUGGCACAAAUUAUAUAAAUUUCUGUUCAUGACUUGAUUCUUUAAGCUACCGUUUGUGUGUGAGCAGAAGUAUGGAAAAGUGUAGGAAUAUUGUUUGGAUAAGGUAUUAUUUGAAAUAUUAUUUGGAAUAAUUAUUAUAAUACUUUUUGUGAUGUGAUGUAUGUGAGAUAAAAAAGUAGUUGGGAAUAUAAAAAGGUGGAUUGGAAAAUGUGUUUACGAUGCAAGCGAAAUAUUAUUUAGAAUAAGUUCACUAUCCAAACAAACAUAAGCGAAAUAUUAUUAGCUAAUUUUUUUCUCAUUGCGUGUGUGUGUGUGUGUGUGUUUACCGCAAAAUUUUCCUGCCAUUUCUUCCACUGUUCUACCUUCUCUGUUUGUGCUUUCUUAUGUUUUGUAUCAAGCAAAAUCAUCAACACAUUUUUUUAAUUAUUUUUUUUAUUUUACAUAUAUCACUUUAAAAAGUGUUAUAAUAUUUUUUUGAAAAAAUUAUUUCGAAUAAUCAUUCAUUAUCCAAACAUGUUCAUUAUAUUUUUAGAAACUAUUACUAACUAAUCACGUCCUCUCAAAGUAUUUUUCGUCAAAUAAACAUACAAAAAAAUUGAUUUUCACUUUUCUUUACUUCACUUUCCUACAUAGCUUUUCCUCCAAUCAAAACUUUUCUAAUAGAUUUGUAACUUUCACAUAUAUAUAUAUUUGUUUUGUAAAUAAAGAUGCAUUAAAAUAAAGUCAAGUCAACAGAGUGCAAAUCAAAGUACAGUUAUCCGUGGGGUGGUAACCCCCUUUAAGUCUUGCAAAAGUAAGGGAAGUACAAAAUUAGGACAUAAUUCAAAAAAAGUGAAGUCUUAAGUGUUGCUUCUUCCCCAGUUGACAAGAAUGUCUGCACAUUUGUUUGCUUCUCUAUAAUUAUGGUGAAAACAUACUUUCCGGAAUGUAGUCAAUAGCUCCCUGCAAUCAAGAAUAAUAGGCGAAAGUUCAUGAGAAAUAAGAUUAUUUGACUUGCACAAGGAGAUGAUAAUGGCAGAGUCCAUCUCCACUUCGAGAGAGUGGAUGUUGAGGUUUUUUGCAAGCUGUAAGCCUUCUCUAAGAGCCCAGCAUUCAGCAGAAGGAACUGAAUAGAAGCCUAAAUUUCUUGCAAAACCUGCAAUCCAUAACCCAUUUGAGUCAGGAAUUAUGCCGCUAGCUCGUGCCUGGUUUGUUGGUCCAGAGACUGAACCAUCAGUGUCAUGGAGGUCUAGGAAGAAUCUCUUCGAGAUUGAAUGUACAUAAUUGACCGAGUUGAAUAUUUUCAUGCACAAGAAUACUAGAUUAUCUAAUAAAAAAAGAUUGAAAAAUCAACACAAACCUCCCUUAUUUCUUUUCUAUUGCAAUUUCUGGAUUAUUAUAUGAUGAUUUUUUAACUGUCCAUAUAUAAAAAAGAAAUUUAAACUAGAAACGACAUCUGUUAUGUCAAUGACACCAAAGGGAUAUUAAAUGAAUGGAAUUGGGUAUGGAUGGAAUAAAAUGAAAUGAAAUAUAACCACUUUGAGUUUUUCUCUGAAAUGAGGCAUGGAAAGAGCCAUUACGAAGAAGUUUUGGGGGUUACAAAGAAAGUUUCUAACUCAUAUUGGUCAUGGGUUGAGAACAGGAAUUGAACUCUAUGAAAUCUAAUCUCCCAUUAUUCCUUAGUAGUUCAGUGGUAGAGCGAUCAGCUGUUAACUGAUUAGUCGUAGGUUCGAAUCUUAUUUGGAAAGAUUUGAAAGAAUUCAAAAUAAUGGGGCUCAUUGACAUUCUCAACUUGCCCCAUUUUAAGGUGUACAAAAAUAGUGGGCUAGUGAAUAUUAGAUCAUUUAUGUCCGCAAAUGAUGAUGAAUAUUCAAAAAUUUGUGUUGCAGUUAAAUGCAUGUAUGACUUCAGUGGAUGAUCUAUAAAAUUUCCGUGCAAGUGAUUUAUGAUUUUGAGGGCACAUUUUGAAUUUCUAAUAUGUGAUGAUGAUUAGAGUCGAAACCACCUAAAUUUUUUUAACCAAAGGAGGGAGAAUUUUAAAUGUAUUGACAUUCACCAAUCACCAUCUUAGUAAACUUUGUAUGGUGAUGAAUUUCCUCCUUUGAUGUUUCUGGGAUGAAAAAAGGAAUUAUUGCUUAAUAAGUGGACAAAGAGCGAGCUAUCAUGGGCAGGGAUCGAAGCAACAUAAAUUAAUUAAGAUUAAGAAAUGGAUGAAGAUUUGUCUCUGAUGUGAAACUACUAUAUCUUCAGCAAAUAUCCAAGAAGGAAAAUGAAGGAGGAGGGAAAAAAAAAAGGAAGUAGUUUCCCAAACACAAGGCAGUUUCAGGAAAAGGAGAAAAGAAAAA
rnacentral:lncRNA from 1 species